rnacentral:lncRNA from 1 species
CAUUUUGGUUCAAAAACUUUAAAUUUUUAUAAUUUCUGAUUUGAUUUAUUAAAAUUAUUACAAUCGAGUCCUAAUAUCCAAUCUAAUUAACUAAUAUUGACGUAUUGCUAAUGUAAAAGUGAUAUAUCAUUUUGAUUGCUGGCGCGCCAUCAAUUAUCAUACUCUCAUAUUAUUUUUACAUUAGCGAUAUAUUAAUAUUUAAUAAACUAAAUUACAUAAUAAAGUUUAAUUAUAGUAAUUUUAAAAAUUCGAACUAAAAAUUAUAAUAAAUUAAAGGGAAAACUUCAAAUACCACCACGUGGUUUCACACUUUUUCAUUUUAGUAUCCUGUGGUUUAAAGUGUAUCAAUUUAGUGUUCCGUGGUUUCAUUUUUAUCUUUUUUCUUAUUGAUUCUACUAAUUUUUUUCGUUAAAUCAGUGAUAAAGUUAAAACUAAAAGGUUCUAAAGUGAAUAUUAGAUAAUCCUAGGUGGGGUAUCUGAAGUUUUUUGUAUAUAAUUUAACAAAAUAUUAAUGAAAAAGUUGACGAAAAAAUAAAAAUAAAACCACAAGACACUAACUUGAUACGCUUUAAACCACAAAAUACUAAAGUUAGAAAGUGCGAAACCACAGGGGUGGUAUUUGAAGUUUACCCUAAAUUAAAAUUUUAAGAGGGAAACUUCACAUACCUCAUGUGGUUUCGCAUUUUCUCACUUCAGUACCCUGUGGUUUAAAGUGUAUCAAGUUAGUACCCUGUGGUUUCGCACUUUCUCACUUUAGUACCCUGUGGUUUAAUAUUUUGUUAAAUUAUAUACCCCGAAAUGGAUAAUAAAAAGAAAAAAUUGAAACCAUAGGAUACUAACUUGAUACAAAAAUGAAACCACAGAAUACUAACUUGAUGCAGUUGAAACCAUAGGGUAUUAAAGUGAGAAAGUGCGAAAUCACAAGGUACUAACUUGAUAAACUUGAAAUUAUAGGAUACUAAAAUGAGAAAGUGUGGAUAUUUGAAGUUCCCCAAAUUUAAGACCUAAAUAUGUAAUUCACUCUUCUUCUUCUUCUUAUUGUUAUUAUUAUUAUAUAUUAUUAUUAUUACUUUUCUUUGGAAAACUACUAGCUAUUGUUUCAUCUUUCGCACCAGGCGCGGUGAAAAAUGGGAAAAAAUAUACAUAUAUGUAUGUAUGUAUAAAUCAAACCAAAAAUAGAUCGAAAGAGACAAAAACAAAUACAAAUAGUUUUUUUUUUUUUUUAAAAAAAAGAAACGAAAAAAAGCCCCGAAACAUCAAGGGGCGGUGCGUUGUCGGCUGUUUCGCGAGCAAGGGUUUCGUCUCCUCCUCUCGACCUCCUCCUCUGAUCCCAAUCCCUUCCUCCCCCCCGAUCGCCCGAUUCCCUUCCUCCUCCGCCGGUAAGUCUCCGAAUCCUCGCGAUUGGAUCCUUUUUCCGCUAGAUUCCACAAAAAUUUGAGGUUUUUCCCGUCGAUUUUGGCCUCGGAUUCGUCGGGUUCGGUCCGGGGGUCGGGAAACCCUAGAUCUCGCGCGCUCUCCGUGUUUUGAUCCGUUUUUCGGUUUGGAAAAGGGUGGAUUUUGCGAUUGGAGCGGGGAUCUGGGGUGGUUUCGAUCGGAUCUGGGGGGAGUCACUGGGGAUCAGCUCGAUUUGGUGGUGGAUUUGAUGGAUUGAUCCGUUGUGGUUUGAAUUGGGGCAAGGGGUUGGCUUUUGCGUUUAGGAAGGGGGCGGAGAGGAGAUUAGGUUAGAGCUUGUUGGCGGAGUCGGUUUUGGUGUCGGAUUUGAUGGUGUCACCUUCUCCUCCUCCUCCGCCGCCGCCGCCGCCACCGCCGGCGGCGGUGGAGGAUCAGACGGAUGAGGAUUUCUUUGACAAGCUCGUGAUCGACGACGACGAGUUUGGCGUCGAGGGAUCUCAUGCCGUAUCGAAGGAUAUGGCUAGGGAUUUCUCCAAUCUCAGCCUCGGCAACAUCGGAGCCUCUUUGGAUGAUUUGGGUGAUUCGGGUUUCCCUUCAGAAAUCAAACCCACAAAGGAAAACAAUGGCCUUCCUCCUGCCUCGGAUCCACCCAAAGAUGAUGGUGUUCUGAAACACGAGGAAAGUGGCCCCUUUGGUUCACAGGAGAGCAUCGGAGAGGUUGCAUCGCCGGGCUCGGUGGUUGUGAAGGGUGACGGAUCCAAGGGGACCAGCGUGAAGGAGGUCCAGUGGAGUGCUUUCUCGUCCGAUACACAGCCCUUUGGUCAAGGGGGCUUCGGAUCCUAUUCAGAUUUUCUGAAAGAAGAUGGUUCUUCGGAAAAUUUCAAAAGUGAUACCAACGUCAACGGCAGUUUUGUUGAAAACCCAGUUGAGAAUCAAAAUCUUUAUGGUGGUUACUAUGAUCAGCAAGAAACACAAUAUUACGGGUCGACUAAUGAGCAGGUGCCUGAUGCAAAUGAUGCACAGUAUUGGGAGAAUCUUUACCCUGGAUGGAAGUAUGAUGCAAGCACUGGACAGUGGUAUCAAGUGGAUAGCAUCGAUACUACUACUGCUGCUGCUGCUGCUUCCACGAAUACCCAGUGGGACAACUAUACUGCUACAAGCAUGGAUUCCCAGGUGUAUGGUCAAAAUUCUACUGCUACUACUGCUGCUCCUGCUGCUCCUGCUAAUGAAUCUUUUGAAAUGAAAUCAGAUGUUUCUUAUCUUCAACAAACAACUCAAUCCGUUUUAGAUACCAUUGCAGAAGAGAGUACCACGAAUAGUAUUACUAAUUUGAAUCAGGAGUAUCAGGCCAGCACAGAAUACCCACCGAAUAUGGUUUUUGAUCCUCAGUACCCAGGAUGGUAUUAUGAUACAAACACACAACAGUGGUACACUCUGGAAUCAUACAUGCAGACCACACAGGUGACAUCUAGUACAGUUCAGGACCAGGUGAAUCAAGACUAUAGUGCUUCAGCUGGCUUCGGAGAACAGCAUCAGAACCAAAAUUAUGCUGUAGUAGGUCAAUUGGAGCAAAGCACUAUUCAGGGUACAGGUAACCAAGAGUUUGGAGGGGAUUGGAAUAACUAUAAUCAGCAGACAAUGUGGCAGCCUGAAGCAGCUGGCAAUAAUAAUACUGAAAGUUUGUCAGGAAAUCAGCUUUCUAGGAGUUUCUAUGGUUCUAUGGGGAAUUCAGUAGGUCAGACAAACCAACAAGUGAGUUUCAAAACUUUCGAACCUGUUACAACUCAUAAUUACGGAAGCACUAAUGGUGUGGCUAGUUCUCAGAGCUUUGUUCCUUCAGAAAGCAUGUACCAGUUCAAUCAGCCAAAGCUGGAGCAGAAUCAGCAAGCUUAUUUAUCAAACAGUUACUAUGGCAAUCAGAAUUCUAUGAACUUCUCUCAGCAAUCAUUUCAAAAUGCGGAUCCAUCCUAUUCUCAGUUCUCUUAUAUACCUCAUGAAGGGAGGUCGUCUGCUGGACGCCCAGCGCAUGCUUUAGUUGCUUUUGGAUUUGGUGGUAAACUCAUAGUGAUGAAAGAUGCGAGCUCUUUUAGCACAAAGCUGGACUAUGGAAACCAGGUUUGGCUCUAGCACUUCUCUUGUCUAAUAAACUAAAAUGCAACAAUUAUGGCAUAGAAAUUUCUUACUCUUACUUUUUCUCUUCAGAUUUGCUAGGUUAGGUUUCCUAUAGCUAAUUUGUCUUAAAUUUUUGUUAUUUCUAAGGGUACUUCUGGUGGUACGGUCUCAAUACAUAGCUUAUCAGAGAUUGUGAUGAAUAAAACUGAUGCUUCUAGCUUUAUAAGUGGGGGUGCCUUCGGUUAUUUCCAAGCUUUAUGCCAGCAAUCCUUUCCUGGUCCACUUGUUGGUGGGAACGCUGCAACAAAGGACGUCAACAAAUGGCUUGAUGAGAGGAUCAUGAGCUGCGAAUCUAUCAGCACAGAUGUCCAAAAAGGAGAAUUUUUAAGGCUGCUUCUUUCUUUGCUUAAAAUAUCAUGUCAGCAUUAUGGAAAACUUCGAUCUCCUUUUGGGUCUGGUCCGUCAGUAGAGGUACCUUUGCACUUAAAUUUUUUUAAUUUUGAAUGCAUUACUAUUACUUUCUUGUUAAUUCUCUUAAAAAAGGUGCUUCUUUCUGGGAUGGCAAACAAUGUUUAAAGAGUGGAAAUGGAUUGCAAGUUGCCAACAUACUGUAUGUUGCUCGUGCGGUCAUUUGGUGCAUAUGAGGUUCCCAUAGAAUAUAAUUCAAAUAUUUAAGUACAACAACAUGGUAACAGUAUGUGAUAGACUGAAAGAGAAUACAUAAAAGAUUUAGAAAAAGAUGGGAAGAAAAUAAAUUUGUCAUUGACCAUUACAAUGACACAUUAUUUAGCACUAUAACACAAUAAAUGAUUGUAUCAAACCUUCAGAUAAAUUGACGUAAGGAAGUAUUCUAAAUGCAGAAUACUCAAUAAUCAAUAUUGGAACUACUGAUGUUUCCAAUUUUCAAUACCUUUAUACAUGGUAUCCUUAAAUUACUCAUAUUUAUCUAUAUAACGCAGGACAAUAUGAAGUUGAGUCAUUGAUAAAUAAUUAUGCUCUUUGGGGAUAUGUCUAUAUGGGGAAGUUAAUAGAUAUCUGUAUAUGUCCUCCCACAUGGAGGUGGAUAAACUACUUUUUAGAAUAAUAAUGGUAAAGAAACAUGAGGAUCCCUCCUGCUGUAGGUUGUUUUGAUGUGGAGGUCUUGGGCUCCAUAUGGAUUCGUUGAAGUUAAACUCGGUGUUCUUUAUCAUGAUCCAUGACUCUUCCAUUAUAACAGAAGCAACUGUUGCUUUAAUCAGCACGUUGACUUUAAUCAGCACAUCCUUGCCAACUUUUGAUGAGUGAAGCUAUCAUCGUAAUCCAUCUUUAACGUCCUUAAAGAGUUGUAGCUUAAAUGCGUAAUAUCCCAUUGUAUUGUUAUUCUUUAGUGUAAUCCUUUAUGGAGUUCAACAUGCUAAAGUCAUUUACUUAAUGUAGCUGAGAAUGAAACAUAUGGUGGCUAAUUUUAUAGGUUUUUUAGAUUUGUGACUUUUCAAACUAUCGUGGAUUGUAAAAAUUCACCUGGAAUAGGAAGAACCGAAGAAGCAUUUAAUAUGGUCACUUUUUGACGUGAACACUCUAGUCUUCGAAUGAGGGAGGACACAUCUCAAAUAUAAUUCUCUAUGCAAAGCAAUCCUCUCCUCUUCUAUCUAGAAAUAUUUUCUGAUUGCAUCUGCCAUGAUUCUUUUGUAAUUCUGUUCAUUCUACUUCCUGUUUCUUCUCCUUCCCUCCCUCGCUCACCCCCCUUUCUCUCUCUCUCUCUUUCUCUCUCUCUCUCAACUCCCCUUGAGGACCCUCUCAUAAUCUACUCAUUUUCUAAUAUAUUCUCCCACUCUACUCUCUAAAUAAAAGCAAAUCUAUCAUCGAGUAUAUGCAUUCGCAAUACAUUUGAAUUUGUCAAGACGCAUCUGCUUUUGGUGCCUUGAGUAUAUCUUCAUUCAGGGAGAGAUGGUGGAUUUCUUUGCUUAUUGUAGUAUUUUGUGUUCUUUAUGUCCAAAGGAUUCCUUGUACUCACAAAGGUGGCUAGAAAGAAUCUUGACUGCCCUUUCUAUUCUUGGCUAUGAGCUUUUUAAUCAUCUUACAUUGCUUUUAAGCAACGACUUGACCUAAAAGCUAUUGGACUAUAUUUCCAAAUAAUAGUUUCAUAACACAUGGUAGUUUGUUUUAAAAAUAGAAGCUGUGAGAUACAACUUUAUGAUACACUAUUUGACCGAUUACUGGAUAAGAUCCAUUUGGUUGUUCAUAGUUUCUUGUUUUAUCCAUUAAAUAUAUAUCCAGGUUUUUUCCUGCUAAUAUGUUCAUAGUCUUUUUGAAGUUUCGCACUUGUUCUAUGUUCAAACAUAUUCGUCCUUAGUAAUAACAGUUUUGACAUUUUCAACUAAAUUCUGUUUCUUAUUGACAGGAAAAUGAUGGUCCAGAAAUGGCAAUAACUAGGCUCUUUGCAUCUGCUAAGAAAGCCAGUGCUCAUCUCAAUGAUUACGGCUCUGUCACACAUUGUAUGCAAAGCCUUCCCUCUGAAAGCCAGAUCCGGGUAAUACUUUUUUAUGUCCAUGGUUAUUCUAAAACAGUUUUACUUCGAGUACUUUAUGCAUAUAGACCGUAUUUUUAGGCAACUGCUGUUGAGGUACAAAACCUUCUAGUUUCUGGUAGAAGAAAAGAGGCUCUCCAGUAUGCACAGGAUGGUCAGUUGUGGGGAGCUGCCCUUGUUCUUGCUGCUCAGCUUGGCGAGAAGGUUUGUGCAACUACUAUGGUUUUCUACAAUAAGCACUUACUUUAUUGGUGACUUUGUUGACCUGAUUUUUUUCCCCCUUUCUUUUUGUUAGUACUUUGGCAAAUGCAUUUUUUUUCUUGGUGGCUAAAAUAGCUUUUUGCUGCAAUCUAAUAUACUCUCUUGUUACCCAUGAACUGUGAUGCAGUUCUAUGUUGAUACUGUGAAGAAAAUGGCUCAUCGCCAGUUUGUAUCAGGAUCACCUUUAAGAACAUUAUGCCUUCUUAUCGCUGGGCAACCUGCAGAUGUAUUUUCGGGAGAUAGCCCAACCAAUAGCACUUAUGGUGUGUUAAAUGCUCUACAACAGCCUAUGCAGGUAAUUUCUCUGCUAUUAUUUUCUUCUCUGGUAGUUGAUUUGAUGAUUUGCUUGAACUUAGCUUGCCAUGUCCCCCCCCCCCCCCCCCCCCCCCUGCACAACCCCCUCCUCUUUUUCUCUUCUCCGCACUUCAGUGAAUUGUUUUAGAAAUACUUCUGUGCCUGUUCUGUGCCACUUUAUGAGCUUAUUUACUGUUUUCAUGUGACUAUAGAAUCAAACCAGUGGCAUGUUAGAUGACUGGGCAGAGAAUUUGGCUAUAAUAACUGCGAAUAGAACCAAGGAUGACGAACUUGUGAUGAUUCAUCUAGGAGAUUGCCUUUGGAAAGAGAGAGGGGAGGUACGUAUAUUGCCUUUUGCCUGCUUACGUCUUCUUUUGGGAUAUUCACUUGUAUAAACUUGCAGAAUUAUCUGUAUUCCUAUAUACAGUAUCUUGCAAAAUCUGAAUCUUCAUGUAUGCCCUGCAAAAGUUCUAUUUCUUAUAUAUCCCUGCAUUUACAAAAUGACCUCCUUAACCACAUUCUACUUGAAAACUGACUUUCAUGAAUUUGAUGAUGCCCCAGCUUAAAAUAUGGCUAAUUUAUACAUACAUACAACUGCGCUUUUGGGGACGUAUACAGAAACUCAGUUUUCUACAGAGUAUAUUGUAAAUUGUAAAUAAAUGAUUUUUCGGGGAUACAUACUUGAAGAAAGCAGGAGUGCAAGCCACUCAAGCGGGAGAAGGUUUUCUGACUAAAGUUUUGUGAUAUAUUACAGCUACGUGUUGUUUGAUGCAGGUAACUGCAGCGCACACCUGCUAUUUAGUUGCGGAAGCAAAUUUUGAGGCCUACUCUGAGAGUGCAAGGCUCUGCCUCGUUGGUGCAGAUCACUGGAAAUGUCCUCGAACAUUUGCGAGCCCUGAAUCUAUUCAGGUGCUUUAUCUUUUACUUGUUAGACAUGCUUUGACAAAUUUGAAAAUGAUUUCCUGCUUACUUUCUUAACAUGCUAAGAAGUAUUCUUCGUGGGAAGACUAAGUUUUCUAUUUAGAUCUUCCUUCCAGAUCGCUUUUAACAGCAUUCUAGGUCUAUUCACCUCAUUUCUGGUGUGAUGAUGUCUAUGUUUGUCCGUUUGGAUUUUUGUCAAAAUUGGAGUGGGAAAUAAAGAAAUUAGAUUUAUCAAGACGGCAAUGAACCUUUUUCUUUUCUUGCCCCCCCUCUUUUGCGUAAAAUUUCAUUCAUUCUCAUAUUGAUUGAUUGUCUGAUGGUACGAUGCUAUGUUGUCAUAUGUAAUAGGCAGAAUUGAAAGGAGACUCGUAGCCUUGUUUGGUAUUGUGGUGCCAAAAGCACCUGCUUUUAUGUUUUGAAAGGCCCGAAAAAUCCAAUAGUGCUUCCAAUUUGCCCUCCGUCAAUGCUAUAAAAUUGCGGUGGGAACCGCCACUGGAGAAGGAAGCGGUUACGAGCUUCUUCGGUGGCAGUUCCCACCGCAAUUUCAUUGCAUUGGAGGAGGGAAGAUUGGAAGCGUUUUUGGAUAUUUGGGGCCAUCCAAAGCAUAAAAGUAGGUGCUUUUGUGCCAUUAUAAGUAGGGUUGUCAAUGGGUAUGGAUACCCGAAAUUUUAUCCGAACCCGAAUCCGAAUGAAACGGAUAUAUCCGGUGAAUAUGGAUAUGGAUUCGGAUAUGGAUAUAAAAAAUAGAAACCCGACGGAUAUGUAUUCGGAUAUGGAUUUUGAUUGUACCCGACCCGAACCCGAACCCAACCCGAACCCAAAUUUAUUUUGUAUUAUAUAUAAUAUAUAUAUAUAAAAAUUUGAUGUUAUAUUUGAAUUUGUAUUUUAAAAAUUUAGGUUUAAUAUAAUAUAUUUUGAAAUAUUGAAAAAAUAAAUAAUUGUUUCGGGUUCAAAUUUUCGGGUUCGGGUUCAGGUUCGGGUUCGGGUUUCGGAUUUUUGGUCGGGUUCGGGUUUGGAUAUGGAUUUUUAAAAUCCGUCGGGUUCGGGCUCGGGUUCGGGUCUCCGGUUUGGAGUCAGGUUCGGGUUCGGGUUUUUAAAAAUCCGCCCCGAAUCCGACCCGUUGACAUCUCUAAUUAUAAGUAGACCCCUCAUUUUUCUUUUUUGGAGUGAGACCUCUCAACCUUUGAUUGUCUGAUUUUUUAUUGCAUUCCGUCAGCUGAAUUGGGGACUCCGUUAGAGUUAAUGUCGAUGCCACCUCUUCAGUUGACAGAAUUGUGAAUCUCCUUUGAUAGUUGACAGCUAGCAACUGAUCAAGCCCCCAAUUCAGCUGAUUGAGUUACUAAAAGUCAAGAGGAAGGAAUUUGCAGGGUGUCGGUUGAAAGAAGUAAAGUUUGGUGUUCUCUAGUUCAGCGGGUUCCAAUACAAUUUCUUUUUCCUACAUAAGAUGUACACACACUUCUUUUUUGUUUGUCAAGGUUUUUUAUUUUUGAUUUUGUUUUGUUCUCGAUGAAUUUCUUACAGAGAACAGAGUUAUAUGAAUACUCCAAAGUGCUCGGCAAUUCUCAGUAUAUCCUUCUACCAUUCCAGCCAUACAAGCUAAUCUAUGCCCACAUGCUUGCCGAAGUGGGGAAGAUUUCUGAUUCAUUACGGUAGGGUUUUUAAUUAUUUUCCCAUUUCUUUGGUAAUAUAUUCUAACUCAUAUUUAACCUCUUAUGAUCUAGGUAUUGCCAAGCGUCUUUAAGGAUGCUAAAAUCAUCUGGCCGCGCUCCUGAAGUAGAAACAUUGAAAUCGUUAUUUUCAUCCCUUGAGGAGCGAAUACGUACCCACCAGCAGGUAUAGCAUCCGUACAAUUUGCUUUAGGGUUAAUUACAAGUUGGUCCUUGAAGUUUGUUCCCGAUUUUCAAUUUCAAUUAAGUUUUUAGUUUUCCAAUUUUAACAGUUUAGCCUUUGGAUCUUGUUUGCCAUAAUACUUUAGUUCUUCCAUUACUCUACUGUGUGAAAAUGCAGUGCUAGUAUCAGUAUGAGAGUUCACUGCAGCCCCAAUCUCAAACUGAUAUUUCAUUCAGCAAAUGCUAAUAAUGAUUGCUGAUUUGGCGUCUUUUUCCAUGUGGUAGCUUCCCUACAACCAUCUCUUGGGACGCUCUAGAGAGUAAAUUGUUAAUUGAAAUUGAAGACGUAUUGAAAUCAGAUCAAACUUUGAGGGCUAAAUAUGUAAUUAACCCUUAAUUGUUGUUUAAACUAAUAUCCAUUUUAAAAGUGUACUAAUAUUUCUUUUCUUGUUCUUCAAGGGUGGAUACAACACAAACCUUGCCCCAGCUAAAUUCGUAGGGAAAAUCUUUACCUCAAUCGACAAGUCGAUCCAUCGCAUGAUUGGGGCGCCGCCUCCACCUCUUCCCCCAAUGCCUCAAGGCAGUGUGAGCAGUGUGAAUGAUAAAGAACGCUAUGCUGUGGCCCCACAGAAGUUUGUAAAUAGCCAAUCAGCGAUGGCGAUGUCAUCUCUGAUGCCAUCAGCAUCGGUCGAGUCGAUAAGUGAGUGGACUGGGGAUAAUAGCGGUGUUAGGAAGAGUAUGCACAAUAGAAGUGUUUCAGAGCCAGAUUUUGGUAGAAGCCCGAAACAGGUCUCUCUCUCUCUCUCUCUCUCUCUCUCUCUCUCUAGAGUAGAAUAUGCAACUCAAUUUGCUUAAAGGUAAGGAUAUUCUAAGACCCUCUUAACUAUAGGCUUCUUUGAAAUAGAAUCCUCAGUUUAUUUUUUAAAAUUGAUAGUCAAUUCUUUUUUCUUAGCUGAUUUGGCAACUGUUCAAUUGAAUUGACAAUACAGUCGGUGAAAUCAAAUUACUCAAAACUCGAGUGUCAAUAAGAAAAGGUGAGCGGUUUUUAAAAAUGGCCUAUAGUUGAGGGGGUCUUCGUACAAUUACCUUAGAAUCGAGCUGCACUGAAUAAAGAUCCUCCUCUUUGCUGACUUUAUGUUGUAUUUAUAAACAGAAGGCAGGAUCGGUUGGUACACAAAGCAAAUCAGCCGAAUUGGGUAGUUCACGGUUCGGGAGGUUUGGCUCUACGCUUCUUCAGAAGACCAUGGGGUGGGUCUCCAGAUCCCACCGACAGGUACUUUCUUCUUCAGUAUUCAUCCUCUCUCUCUCUCUCUCUCUCAUUUUAGCUUAUAUAUAUAUAAUUAUGAAUUUUGGCUUCUUUUUUUUAUGUUCCUGUAGGCGAAACUUGGUGAAAGUAACAAGUUCUACUAUGACGAAAAGCUGAAGAGGUGGGUGGAGGAAGGUGCUGAAACUCCAGCCGAGGAAGCUGCUCUACCACCUCCUCCCACCACAACCUCUUUCCAGAAUGGUAUGCCGGAUUAUAACACUAAUAUUAGCAGUCACCAUGCAGUAAAAAGCGAACUCCACACUGCUAAUGGAAUCCCUGAAGCAAAACCCCCGAAUCUGUCUGAAUUUAGUCCGGGAAUCCCACCAAUUCCGCCUAGCCAGAACCAGUUCUCAGCUCUCGGCAGAGCGGGUGUUCGGUCAAGGUAAUCUUUUGUGGUACCAUUAACUAUGGGUUAAUUAUUUCAUGAUGCUCCUCACUUCAACUAUCCGCUUAUUAACAUGCAACAUAAACCUGCUAAUUUCUCAUUUUGCAAUUCUGGUUCACUCUUUUUUUUAAAAAAAAAAUGGAUCAAAAUCUUUUUUUAGACAAAACACCUUUGGCUUCUCGAUGAUAUAUGCUUGAGAUUUAUCUUUCUUUCUUCCUUGAUGGGACUGAAAGCCAGUAGACAACGCAGAAGAAUAAUUUAAACCUUUUUGUUCCUCAAUAACAUUUACCUUUUUUGUUCGCUAAUAACAAAGUCAUCGGUUUUUUACUGUCAGAUAUGUGGAUACAUUUAACAAGGGCGGAGGUGGUGGAACUGCGACAAACCUUUUCCAAUCACCUCCUGCUGCUCCAUCUGUAAAGCCUGCAGUAAACGCUAAGUUCUUCAUUCCCUCCGCUCCUGUCACCGUUGACGAAAAGAAAACCAAACAACCCUUAGAAACCAGCCAAGAACCUCCCACCACCUCGGAAGAGCUGUCCACAUCAGCAGUAACUGAAGUCUCAUUCUCUUCGCCGCCAUCUGCUUCAUCAUCCUCACCAUCGAUGCAACGGUUUCCGAGCAUGGAUAACAUGACUCCUUACGGAAACAGAAGGCAAGGACCUGUGUCGGAGCGCGCGAAUGGCCCUAUAUCAAGAACUCGAGCUGCUUCUUGGAGCGGCAAUUUUGGGGACUCAUUCAACACCGUGAGCACGGAAAGUAAGCCUAACUCGUUGGAUGGACAAACUGUUCCGUCUUCGUUCAUGCCCGCCAAGUCUCUGCAGUUUAGUGGAAGCUCUUUGUCGGACGAUCUUCAUGAGGUGGAGCUCUAACAUUUGGCCAUCAUCAUUACGGGGAUGGCCGUGCUUAAUUAUCGGAGCCUCUCUCUCAUCCUCUGUCCCAAGAUCUCCCAAGAAAGUCAAAUGGGGCUCGAGUCAGGUAUCGGUUUUACUACCGGAUUUGUUGUGAGAAAUCUUCUCGUUUGAUUAGAAUCAGAAAGAAAAAGGGAAAAAAAAAAGAGGCACCAUUCCGAGGUGCUUCCUGUAUUAAAUUCCAGAUUUUUGAGUUUACCUUGUGGUUUAAUGUUCGCAAUGUCGAAAGUGGUGUCCUGUUUACAUGAAAAAAAGAAAAGCAUGUAGACGCCGUUGUACAGAUAAUUUGUCAAUUUAUUCGAACAUGAAAAGUUCCCAUUAUAUUGUUUUUUUAAGAGAACAGGCAUCUGGGAAAGAAGAAAUAUUUUAGAGAGCGACGAGGGCAAUUACAAUCUAUCUUUGUAAAACGAACACAAAUAAUCAGUUCUUUACAUGUCUGAAUUUUGUGAAGUCUUGGUUUUGUGAACUCCUUUGUUCUUCAAUUGGAUCUUGCAGUUGCCUCAUUUUCACUAACUGAGUUGUGUUUAUUUAUGAAGCAAACAUGUACUGAUGCAGUUCGUCUUCGCCUUGACUUUAGUUUAUUGAUUGAAGAUAUGUUCGCUGAAAAGCGGAUCUACUUUUUUUGUUCUUUAUGAGCAGGUCGUCCUUGCGGUUCACUAACCUUGCGUUGAGCUCCGUUGGUUCUUGCGGUUUUUUCGGAAUCUGGAAACCGAAGCUACAGGUUGAGACUUUGCGGCUUUUAGGGAAUCUGGAGAGACAAAGCCACAAGUUUAGAAUGUGGACUGUUUGAGUGUUUCUGGUUACUGAGCUUCGUUGUCGGUCUUGUUGUUGUUCGGAAAAGAAAAGCAAGGCAUUAUGUUGGUGUUGGGGGUUCAGCUUCUGCUUUUACUGCUGUAGGAAGCUGCUGAGCGAAUUGUAAUGUAGUUUUUUGUGUAAUUUUGAGGAACCAAACUUGAACGGUGUUGCAGCAGAUAUUUCAGCAGUUCCACAUCUGCAUCAGAAGUAGGGAAAGGUAUCUGUAUCUGAUAGAAGAACAAAGUCAAAAAAAAGGGUGCAAAAUGAAAAAGGGGUUGACUUGUCAAAUAUCCGUUUAACUAUUAUUCAUUGCGUGUUGUGCCGAUACGAGCUGGUCACAAAAAUUACAAGAUUUUUUUUUUUCUUUAAGAACAAAAUAUUUUAAUUGUUUAUUUUGUGCCUUUAUCAAAUCUUUUAAAUUUUAUUAAAAAAUUAUAUAUUAAUUUAAAGAAAAGAAGGUUUCGGUUCUUGCUGUUUUGAACUAAAAAAUGAGAGAGAUUUAUGAAGUCUAAGGUUUUUUACUUAUUAAUAAAUAUAGUUGCGAGAAUUGCAUAAAGUGUACUAAUUAAAUUUGUAGAGAUAAAUACUAUUGACUAAAUGAAAUCGAUUAUAUUAAAAGGUUAGAUAAUAAAAACAAAAUUUUGAAAAGUUGGAUAACCGGUUCAAAAUUGUUCAUAGUUCAGAAGAGGUUCAUAUAUUUUUACUUUGAUUUUAAUAUCAAACUUUAAUGUCAUAUUUAUAAUCUAAUCAGCGAUCAACUUUAUAUUCAAAAUUUUGGAAUAAUUCAAAAAAUGAUUGGUGGACUUCUAAUUUUAACAAUUAUGAUUUAUUAGAUAGUCUAAUAGAUUUUUUUUCUCUCGAAUGAAAUUACUAAUUGAACAAAACCGAUCAAUACUUAACUCUGUCUUCGCUUGAAAUACAAAUAAAGCAUAAAAAGAAAGAUAAAGUUUCGUGACACUUUAAUCCUCGAUUUUUCAUGCGCUACAGUUUUUGUCUUAAAUUGUAAGCCACGUGAUACUUUAGUUCUCAAAUUUUAAAUAGUUGCAAAUUAUUACUGAAAUAUGAUAGUUUAGUCCUCAACUUUUACUGUUGCUAUAAAUAUAAUUUAUUAUUCUUAUGAUUCUGCCCCUAUUAUUUCACAUCCUUCUUAUAUAUUUAUUAUUAUAUUUUUAUUAUAGUAGCAGCUACUUCUUCUUUAGUUUGGUUUGCCAUAGGCAUAUCUUGGUCCUCAUUAAUUGGCCACCUACCUAAAAAUAAUUUUAGAUUCAGAAUUACUUUUGGACUCAGUAUAAUAUUUGGCGACUGAAAUAAAAAAAUCUGAUUUUACUUUUCAGAAUCAAAAAUUUUUUUUCAACCUCUAAAGUCAAAAACAGAAAAAAAAAAUAUUUUUCCAAAACUGAUUCUGACAAGGAACAGUUUUCCCCCUCAACAACUUUAUGAAAAUACCAAAUCUACCCUGAACAAAUAAGACAACUAACUCUACUCUACCUUUUUAUAAAUAAUUACACUUUCCAACCACCACUUUCUCACUCUCAUACUCCUUCCAUCCCAUACUCCUUCCACAGCCAUCUAUGCACUACAACCCAAAAAAAAAAAAAAAAAUUCAUUUCUAGAUCUAGUUAAUUAAUUACAGUGUCGAUCUUUCUAGCAAUAUUUGAUAAGAUGUAGGGUCAAUAAUUUUGAUUUUGUUAUCCUUUUUUUUUGUUUAUUAAUUUAUUUACAAAUGUAUAAAAUUUUAAAAAAAUCAAAUUAAAUAUACUUUUCGAUAUAUAUAUAUUAUAUACUGAAAAAAGGCUAAAUUUGAGAAAUUGUAUAAAAAAAUAAAGUUUAAAGUUUUUAAUUUUAAAUAGUUUUUGUACUAAAAUCUCUCUCCCAACAGUUGGGAGGCGUAAUUUGGUCCAAAUAGACCAAAGUACCAUACCCAACCCCAGUGCACAUGGACAUGUGUGUGUGGGUGAAAACUGAGCCCUGGCCCAAAAAAGGCCAAGACCCGAGGCUAAUAUGUAUGAUCACACUUUGGUACCGAAAAAUAUAACUUUGAUAUAAGAUAUUUAGGUUUUAUGAUAUAUAUAUAUAUAUUAUAUAUAUAUAUAUAUAUCAUAUAUAGAGUUCGGCUGGAAUAACAUUGAUAGCAAGAACGUUCUUUUGCUAUCAAGUUUAGCUUUUGAUCAACCUUUAUUAUUUAACCAUUGAUAAAUACUAUAACCCAGUGGGGACCACUAUCAACUUCUAACCGACUAAUAUCAUUCCUAACGCCUAUUACAAUUUUCAUCCACAGGUUAAAAACUUGAUAGCAAAAGGAGCUUUCAAAUAAGUAUUCCAGCCAAUUCUAUUAUUUUGCUAUCAAGUUUUUAACCUUGAUAAAAAUUGUAGGGUCGGAUGAUAUUAGUCGUUAAGUUGAAGUGGUUCGCGCACUGGGUUAUAGUAUUGUAAUCAAUGGUUAGAAAUAUGAAAGAGUUGAUCCAACAGCUAAAAACAACUGGUAGCAACAAUGAGAUUUGCUACUAAUAGUAGCCACAGCUCCAACAAUAUUAUAAUAUUAAUAUAUAUAUAAUAUAUAUAUAUAUAUAUAUAUAUAUAUAGAAUAUAUAUAAUAUAAUAUAAUUAUUUAAAUAGAAUGAAUGAUAAAAUAUAUAGCCAAAUAUAUAUGAGGAUAUGUAUACAAACUAAGCUGGAAACAUUACAUAGCACGCACAUGACUUGGUGCUAUUAAGUUUUUCUGGCCGUUGAUUAAAAGAUGUGAGGCUAAAUGAUGUGGGUCAGCCCUUGUUUAGUAGGCGUUUAGUUGAAUAGUAUAUCAUCGAAUCGGACGAAACUGAUAAAAGAGAUAAAGAAUGCUAAGCCAGAAAAAAUUGAUAGCAGCAAAAUGUGUUCGAUGCUAUCGAUAUAACUAAAUACUAAUAUAUAAUAUCUAGAUAUAUUUAUUAUUUAUUCACUAUGAGAUAUUUUUUUGAUUUAAACUGCAAAAUAAAAAUAUAUAUGGAAUAUGUGACAAAUGCAUAAAGUAAGCACCAACAAAGCGCGAUAGGUAUUGGGCUUUGGGCCUGGAGCGGGCCUUAAUUUUUGUAAAAAUUCAGAUCGGAGCCCGACCCAAAGCCCAAGUUUUUGGGCCGGGUUUGGGCAUAGUAUGCUCCGACAGAACCCGGUCCAGUUCCAGCCCUACAUGUAUAUGUACAUGUAUAUAUAUGAAUAUGGAGUAUACAUGUAGUAGAGGAUAAAGAACUUAGAGAAGUGUGUUAGGGAGAUUUCAAGCUCCAAAAUAUAUAUAUUUGUAUCUUUUGUUAUAAUACUUGCUUCUUUUUUCUUUUUCUUUUUUUUCUUUUUUUUUUUUUGCAGGCCACGAGUAGCGCAACAUUGACUGUUGCAGACGAAGCCAUUGAUAGUUUUUCAAUGACAAAGUUAGGAAUUAAAAAUGGAUACUAUCAAAAAUUAUGCUGGAGCAGACCCUUACAGUGUCAUCAUGGUUAUGGAAGACAUUCCAUUUAGUUACUACGAUGUGAUGAAAGAUUUGGGUCAUCAUAACAUCCUGAGUUGCGAAAAGUCGCUGUUGAUUACGGAGACGAUCGACGGCACUUUGGCGAACUACGUAAGGACGAAAGCAGAAGAGUUAUUCCUCCAGGAGAAUGAAUGAUGGCUCUUGUAGCCUCUCGGAAAGUUUUAAAAUAUUAAUCGAUUAAGAGCCUAAUACUUAAUUUCUAUCGCGUUUUGAAUCUUAUUUAAACGUAUAACAUUUCAUUUUCUAGGGACGUUUUGGAGGUUGGUCUCAUGUAUCUACACACAAUGAAGGUUUAUCACAACAACAUGCAUGCGAAGAACACAUCCGUCAGAGGGUAGUUUGGUGACAAAAUUUACGUGAAGCUUAAUUUCUUAUUUCGGAGGUAAUAAUAUGUAUCAUCUUUUUUACCAUAAUACUUUUCUAUAUUUUUUUCCUCUAUAUUAUGAUGCAGGGAGGCAUACAACAAAAUACGGGUCACAAGAGGAGUACAACAGAGGAGUGAAAAAGGAUUAGAGGAACCCGAAAACUCUUAUAAAAGAAUGCUACAAAGUUUGCGAAUAUCAACCCAGCAGCAUAGUGAGGAGCUUUUUCAAGUUCUUAGAUGGAAAUUCUGUGAAUCGGUAGGCCAUUUUAUAUAGCAAUAUUAACUUUUUUAAUUCUUUUUAUUUAAGUAAUAAUUAAUUGAUUUGUCUUAAACAUAGGACUACAAUUUUUGAACACCCAAUAUUCUGGGACGAUAUGGAUAAGAGACACUAUCUCUUUUGGCUGAGGAGUGGAUCAGAUCCGCUUCGCGUUAAGAACACACUUAAUAAUUCGACGCUGCUGCAAUGGCCCCACGACGAGAGGAUUAAUCCGAUCGUCGAAGAAGAGAACGAGAGAGGAGAGAAUAACUAUAGCAUGGCCUCGCCUUAUGAUUUUGUAAGACUAAUCGAUAACAAGCUCAUGAACUACGAGGAAUUGCCUGAGGAUUUCAAGGUACAGUUUUUUAGCACUUAUAACUGCAUUUUUUUUUUAAAAAAAAAUUAUUUCUGACUUAUUAUUGUAAUAACUAAUACUGUUUUCUUUUUGUCAACUCGCAGUGCGAAUACGGGACACAUCAAGAUGCGUUUUUAUAUUAUGUUGAAGGUUUAGUGCCGAAUAUUUGGGAAAUCUUAUUCGAAGAACUUGGUCCGAUCGCGAAGAUAUGAUCUCCCGGAGUUUAGAAGUGUAUCUACUUUGUGGUGAAACUAUGCAGAUUCUUUUCAUUUUCGUGCGCCAAACCAUUAAACAAUAUAGUUUUCUUUAUAUUCUAAGACCUUUCUUUAUAUGUGUUCUUCUUCUUGCAUUUCAGAUUUUGUACAAUUAUAUUAUAUAUAAGCGUUGUUUGAUUGUACGUACAUUCUUACUUGAUAUCUAGAAUUAUGAACUACACGGUUGAAAAAUCAAAAUUUUAAAAAAUUGAAUAGUCGAUUCAACAUGGUUCAUAGUUUAGUAAAGUUCGGUAUAUUUUUACUGUACAGAGUUUUAACUAAAUCAUGAACCAUUUUGAAUCACCUAUCCAAAAGGCUUGAUCUAUGAUGAUAAUUUUGGCAUGAAACUGAAAAAAAGUUGCUGAGCACAAAUUGAUGUACUGUCCUUAUUCUAAUCAAGAGAAUGAGUGAUACAAUUUGAUAUAAUUUGUUUUCUAAUCUAUGGUCUUGCCUUUUCUUUUCUCUUCCUGAAAAGAAAAACAAAAACAAAAACAAAAAAAAAAUGUAUAACUCAUCAUCUUACAGCGCAUGAACUGGAUACAAAAUAUGAGCUUCUUCAAGUGAAGCUCAAAGAAUGAAGUAAAAACAAAGUACAAGAAAAUUAGGAAAAUUUUGAUACAAUGAAACAUAUGAUUCCGCAGCACCGAUUGAGCUCGAGAGUAUGCAUUACAUCUGUGAACAGCAAUAUAUAACAAAAUUCAGUGAGCCCAAAUCCAUCACCGCAACUUUCUAAGCAGCCAACCUAAGAAACCUAAACCAUGAUCCGAAAAUCAAAACACAAAAGCAUAAUUUUCUGUUUUUCCACUUUCCAAACCAAUCCAGAAUGAAGAUAAAAGUGCCCAUUAUGGAUGUCGUGAUGAUAAUGCCGAGUUAAGAGAACUUGGUCCCCAACAGGUAGCUAAAGGACUCUCUCUAACUAGAGGAAACCCAAGGUGCCAUCUCAUUUUUUAUUCUCUUUUUAGUGCUAAGUGUGGUAGAAGGGCUGCUUAAUAAGUGAAUAUCUCCCUCCAAGAAUUGGAUAUGAAAUACUUUUUUCUUCUGGAGUCUGGAAGUUUAUUUCUUCAACCUUUCACUGCAGUAGAAGCUUCAGAUUUAUUAUUUGCAACAUGCAUGGCUGCUGUUUUUUGAGGUAGGGAAGUUGCCAAAAACCAAGAAUCUUGCCACCAUUGAUUGGUUUCUUUUGAAUGCUUCUUUGAUAUCUGGAAAGGAAACACAUCAUUCAUAUUAUAAAUUAGGGAAAAAGAAACUUGAAAACAUCAGCACAUUAAAAUUAAAAAAAAUAAUAAUCAAACAUACUAUAAAACAAAGAGGAAUACAAAGAAAUGUAAAAUGAAUAUUAAUUAUACUGAACAUUUUGCUUGUCCUAGAGCAUAAAGCAAAAGAAAUGCGAGCAUCAGAUUUACUAUCUUCUCUCCCAGUUUAUCGGUUUGAAACUUGAGGAAGGAGCAUGGAACUAACAAGAGAACAAAGUUAGCAAUUAACAAUUAAAAGAAAAAGGUCUUAGUUGCAGAUGACUAAGAAUUUGAGCACCAAAAUUCCGCAGUUAUAAAAGCUGCACAAAGUGGGCAGUAGGCUUGAUCAGGAGCAACAAAAUGAGAACAUGAUGAGGAGGACGUUAGGAGAAGAGAAAUAACAAGGACUAAACAGUUAGCAGUUGCUAUAAGUUUAUUCAUGGAGGUACUAGAAGUCUUAUGGAGUACACCAGCUCCGCAAGAAUUUAAAAACUUUGAACUGGUUAGCAAAUAUAAUUUUAUGUAAAAAAUGUAUAAACCUUGCCAGAACUAUGCUGCUCUUUGAAACGAGUGCAUAAAAUAAAAUUUCAAUUUUACUACCUAGCCUUGCAUUCCUUCUGAUUCUACAAAACUUUCAGAAAAUUUUGUCAAGUUGAACAGUUUCAUUUGUUAGCUUAUACAAUAUUCAACUAAAUAAAAUACAAUCUAUUAGAUUGCAAAUAUGCUGUUAACAAAAUCAAAAACACUGUUGAAUUUUGAUUGGAAUAUACUAAAUCAAAGGUUAUUACAAGAUUGGUGUUAUUAAGAAAUACCUACUCUCACUCAGACUACAGUAAGUAGUUUUCAACUCAUACGCAAAUAUGCAAUAGCAAUCUUGCAUCAUAUUAUACAAUCCAAUUCAAAAUUAUUUCAGAGUGGCCAAUUGCUUGAUGGAUCAGUUGCAUUAGAUUCAUCUACUUAUCCUCAUUUACUAUUAGGAUGGCAAAGGGCUAAGCUAGUGCCCCACAACAUUUGAACGUUCAAAUUACACAUUAAAGGCCUGAAUACAAAAUAAUAUUACUGUAAGUAAUGAAUUGCCUUAUUCAUUUUUAGGAGAAAAAGAAAUUUCUUGACAUGGUUUAAACAUAUGGAAAGCAAUAAUUUGAGACAGAAAAACUCACUCCCUGUUUUUAAUUCAUCCAUAGAGCUCUUGGAAUUGAUGCAACCGCUGGCGAGAUUAGAUCGAUGAUAACUGGUACAAAUGUGUAAAAAAAUAGUUUAGUAGUAGAAAUAUGCAAUGACAUAAGAUUUGUUUGAUGGUCUAGAAGAAAAAGGUGCUUUAGUAUAACUAGAAAAGUCAUAUUUUACCCAACUGAUAAUCCAAAACAAUCUUGUCAUACUGCAGAGCACCAGUGUGAAAAAUUAUUGGAUACAAGCACUAUAUUGGAAGGUUUACCAUUAAUAUGUAGUAGAUCUGAUGUUAUAUGUCUGGAUAAUAUAUGCAUAAAGUCAAAGACAUAUUGCCUUAUAAUGAAUCUUACUAUAAUUAGCACAUGUAUAGCAGAGAAGGGUAAAAGAAGCUUUAACAGUAAGAAUAACACAAUUACUAUACACGAAACACAACUUCAUCAGGCAACUGGAAGAUUUAUGGAGGUAAUGCAUUUUGGAUCAGCAGGCAACAGCUAGCCAUACUGAAGAGCAGACGAACAAUAAAAUGAUGCAAAAGCUAAAAUCCAGGGAAACCUCUUAUAAAUAUUGUGAUUUUCACUUUGACCCCUGAAAUAUUAGAAUUCACACUUUAACACAUUGACCCAUAAGCAAAGUACUACGUAUCAUCCAUGGAACACUAAAAGAAGGCAAAAUGAUGAAGAAUCUUAAUUUAAGCAGGUAAUAUAUAGAUUCUUAUAUUUCAGCGUGGCAAAAUGAAAGUAUCUGAUAUUUACAGGGGAUAUCCAGCAUUUUAGUCACAAUAAAUUAAACGAAUCUUACCUAUGUAGCACUUAUGCUUCUCAGCCAUCAAUUAACAUAUGGGCUGAUGAUCUCAGAAGAGCCUUGCCCAAAAUGCAAUCUGGCAUCAACAAUUCUCUCUUAGUGAAUUUAAGUAUUAUGACAAAUCCAUAGCUGUCCAAGCCACUUUAAUCCAUAACGACGGUUCUUCAGGUAUGAGCUCAAGGACAAACAGUCUUAGUUGUCUACUGAUAGCUCUUAAAGAAGUGGCGCCAGAGCCAAGGAGAAAAAAGCCUCAGCGGUGUCACACUAGUUUAGCACUUUAGCCUCUAUGAACCAGAACAUGUUGUAGUAAGCCCCCCUGAGGAUCCUAUGGCGCUGCUGUAUUCUCUGCCCUCCAAACCAAAUUCAAGUAUAAACUUAACACUGUAGGGCAUGUUUGUUAUUUUGUGGUUGUGAGUUCCUAGGAACUCCACUGCAGUUCAACAAACUCAACUGUAGUACCAAUGAGAUAAAAGCCAAGAGUGGAAGUGCGCGAUUUUGGAUCUCAACUUCGGCAAAAAGUGGCAUGUUUUGGCCGACCAGAUAAUGAAUCUCAGCACAUCCAACCAAAGAGUCCAGUUCGGUUCCAAAAGUUCAGGACAAACAAACAAGCCUUUAGUCACCUGAGGCGGCAUCGCGUUUUGGGCUAGGGAUCAAACCCCUUCUUCUCAUAUCAUUUUGCAGAUCCAAUACUUGAUCCACAUCUCCCAACUUCUGAUACUUGCUUAUCAAACAAUUAUAAACUGCUUCAUCAGGAAGAACACCAUUGUUUAUCAUUUGUUCUAGCAUUUCCCUUGCUUCUUGCAUCUUAUCACAAUUACAUAAUCCCCAUACAAGAGAAGUAUAAGUAAACAAAUCAAGCUGCAAGCCAUUCUCCACCAUUUUGUCCUUAAGUAUAAAGGCAUCCUGGAGAUUACCCUGCUUCAAAUACCCAUCCAUCAAAGAUGUAUAUGAAACUUUGUCUGGAGACAUCCCUUUCAAAACCAUUUCUUCGAACAGUUCUAAGGCUUGUUGCAAAGAACCACUUUUGCAAAGGCCAUCAAUGAGGGCGGUGUAAGCCAAUACAUUGGGUUGAAGACCAACUUCUCUCAUUUUCUCAAAGUGAUACUUUGCUUCGUUAACGGACCCUUGCUUACAUAACCCAUCAACUAGUGCACAAUAAGUAACAACAGUGGGAAAAAAGCCAGAAUCCUGCAUCUCGUGAAACAAUACAAGAGCUUCCGAGGCUUUCCCCACUUUAAAGCAAGCAUCCAUCACAGUAGUAUAGAUUACUUGAUUAGGUCUUAUGCCACAUUCAUCCAUCUCAUUGAGCAAAACCUUAGCUUCAUCAAUCUUUCCCUCGUUACAAAGACCCCAAAUCAGGGUUCCAUAAAGCGAGACAUCUGGUUUCAUUCCUUUACUCUUUAAUUCGUCAAGUAGGCUCAUCGCCCUCUCUGUGUUCCUAUAUGUGAAAUGCCCAUGAAUAAGAGCAGUGUAUAUUAACAAGUUGGCCGUGACCCCAACUCUCUCCAUCGCCCUAAAGAUCUCCUCAGCUUCCAUAACCUUCCCUUCUUUACACAACCCAUCAACUAAAGCAGUGUAAGUUACAAUGUUCAACUCCACUCCCUGCUGAACCAUUUCAUCGAGCAGAAGAAGGGCAUCCUUAACAUUUCCAGCCUUGCAGUUACCAUCAACUAAAGAAGUAUAAGUGAACUCAUUAGGCGUUAAGCCUCUCACCUUCAUGUGCACGAAGAAGUUCAUAGCCUCAUGCAUCAUCCCUUCCUUGCAGAAGGCGUCAAUUAAAGUACUAAAAGUGACCACAUUAGGCUUCACAUAAUUCCUUUUCAUCUCAUUAACGUAACCAAAUGCUUUCUGUAUAUUCAGGCAUUUACACAAACAGUUGAUAAGCGCGUUAUAAGUUACAACAUCCGGCUUAAUUCCGACCUCUCUCAUCUCACCCAUAAGCCGCUCUGCCUCUUCCAUCUCUCCACACUUCCCAUUUCCAUCAACCAGAGAAUUAUAUGUGACCAAAUCCGGAGAACAACCCAUCUCCUUCAUCUUCGAGAACACGCUAUUCGCAGCCACCAAAUCCCCCUCUUUACACAAGAAAUCGAUCAUGAUAUUGAAGGUGAAUACCGUCAGAGCCAUGUUCGACCCUAUUAUAUCAUCAAAAAACCUUUUUGACAGCUCCUUUCGCUGCGACUUUGCAAGCUUCUCCAGCAAAUUGUUGCAGGAUCGCAACUUGGGAAAAAUCCUGAACGAUCUCAUCCUGUAGAACGAUUCCAUCGCCUCCUCGAGAAAGCCUAGGUCGGUUAGAACGCUGAAGAAUGCGUCGAAGACGCCGUGCCCGGGGUUUUGCGACAACCUAGCGGUGGCGACGAGGACUCCGAUGAGAUUAUCGAAAACGGGGGACGACCGGGUGGAGAGGACGAGGUCGCGGAGGAUCUGGGUGGCCUGGGAGUACAUGCGGCCGCGGAAGAGGACGUGGGCGGCGACGCAGCGGGUCUCGGCGGUGUGGCGGAAGCGCGGCUGGGACGCGGCCCAGGCGAAGAGGCGGAACGCGGCGGCGGGGUCACCGCGGAGGGCCGAGAGGGCGCGGGCGAGGCGGAGCGGGGCCAACGACGACGCCGUGAGGAGGAGGGCCGCGGCGAGGCGGGGGUCCGACCACCGCCCCUCGGCUGCGAGCUUGGAGAUGAGGUUGGGGUCAGGGUCAGGGUCAGGGUCGGGGGCGGCGGAGGAGAGGGCGGAGCUAGGGUUCCGGCGAGAUAAUGCGGCGGCGAAAGCGGAGGAGGAGGAGGAGGAGGAGGAGAGGAGGAGGCGACGAAGGGGGAUGCGGAGACCGUGGGUGAGGAUAAGCAUCCUUUGACCCCCCCACCCCUCCGCCAUUAGGAGCCGGAGCUUAUAGGCGCCAUUUUUUUUGUUAAGUUGGGAAGAGGAGGAGGAGGAGCCUCUCCUCUUCUUCCAUUGAAGUGUGUUUGGGAAGAGCUUGUGAGCUCUUGAGAGGGGGGGUUUAUGAAUGUUCUCUUUUCGGUGGUAGGGUUUUAUUUUUUUGCUAAAUUACAAAAAUUCUUUCCACAUUUUUGUUGGAGUUGAAUGUCUCAAUUAUCCUCCCCCACUAAAAAUUGCAUUAAUUUCAACGUUCCUUUUAUUUUUAGAAUUUUACUGGAUUACUAUCGAUAAUAAAUGGCUAGACUUACUAUCAAUUUACUUUUGAUUAUACAGCAUCCAAAUCGACGAUUGACACUAUUCAACAUGAUCUAAACCAUUCACAAUAACUAGAAAUCAAAUUUCAUACUUUCUGACAUCAAUAACUAAAUGAUCAAAAAGUCAUAAAUUUUGUAAUUUUAAUAAUCAAUAUAGUAUAUUUACUCAUUUGACGGUAUAGAAGAGAUUAAUACGUUGAAUUUUUGUUAGAAAGUUUUUAAAACUAUUUUAAAUAAGAUCUUCACUCGAGAUCUUACAUACAACAAUCAUAUCAUUACUUUUUGGAGGAUAUUCGUUUAAAGAAAUAAUAUUUAACAGAAUACGAAAUUUGAUUUCUAGAUAGUUUAAAUAGUGUAGAUUAUGUUCAACAGUACUGGUCGUCGAUUUGAAAGUUCUAUCAUCGAUUUGAAAGUUCUAUCAUCGAAAAUAAAUCGUUAAUAUACUGAGCUGUUUACUACCAAUAGUAGCGGGGCAAAACUCUUAUUUCUAACUCAAAUAAAUUCAAAGUUUAGAUAAUUAUUAUUUUUGGCUUUAAACUUUAGCCUAUGUUAACUCAUUUUUGUGAAGUUUCGCAACCAAAAUCAAUAAUUAUACUUUAAUUUUAGGCUUAUUUGACACAAUGAUCUAUCUACCUACAUCAUGUUAAUUGUGGACCAGCUAGUGAUCUACAUUUGUACGGUUCAGAUUCAACUUUUUUAAGCAUCAUGCAUUGUUGAAAAAAGCCUUUGUGCUCCCUUGUACGACCCACAGAAUAUGCCACCAUCCAUCUCCAUAACUCCAUCGCAGCAUUUUGCUCCAUCAUGAUGUCAUUAGAGCUCUUAAAUACUUAAUCCUCUUUUCUAUUGCCAUGAUCGUUAUCAUCAUGGUAUCAACAUAUAUCUCUGCCACAAUUGUAAUCGGGAACAUCUCAAUAAUUUCACAUCAGAUGAAAAAAAAAAGUUCUUAUUAAAAAUAAAUAGAUCCCGCUAUCUAAUAAUAAUAAUAAUUGGAUUUAAAGAUGUCCUAAUGGUUUGGAUUUAAAGAGUUAUUACUAUUUAGUGGAUUUGGUCGUUUUAUUUGGGUCAGAGCUGGUUUGUUAGCUGAAAAUGUGAGGCGGGCCUCACAUCGCUUGGUGGUAUUGGGCUGACGAGGACGUCAAGGCUUGAGACCUCACAUCGCCUGAUGAGUUUGAUAAUCUUAAGCUAUGUGUGUGAUUGGGCUGACGAGAGCGUCAGAGCGUGACACUAUAUUGUCCGGUGAACUUGGUGAUUUUGAGCUAUAUGUGUCACGCCCCGGGACCGAUGCCAAUUUGGCCCGACCCGAGCACGUCAAACAGACGCCGAACGGACAGAGUUUCCCCUAUCCGCCCAAGGCUCAUCACACGUACCUUUUCAUCAAUAGAGAAAAGCACUAGCAGAAACAUACAUAAACGGCUUACACGAGGGUAAGCAAUAGCCAUAAGUGAAAGAAAGAAAAACUAAACAUACACAAGUAACAUGAUUCAUUUUAGAUCAUCUACAUUGCAUUCGUCUUUUACACUUAAGAUUCUUACAUUCAUCACAUGAUUUCUUUCUUACAUCACAUUUACCUCAAAAUGAGCUUUACAUUCUUUUCUUUACAUCACUAAUCAUCAAAUACAAAAGAUGAUAAAAGGGUGUCUACUAACAAAAUGUAUCCCAACUCUGGUGGCCUCUGACUAAGGCGCGAUACCUUUACCUCGGUCGCUUGCCGGCUCGCUCGGUCCCGGCUCUGUGGAAAUAGUGGGGUGAGACUACUACAACAAAGUUCCCAGUGGGUUCGGCCUUCAACAUCACCUGACUUUCCACUAGGACUAACUCGCAUAAUAGAAAGGAUAAGCUGAAAUAUGGUACCAUCUAUAACAUGAUUCUAAUAUGCCUGAACAAACACAAGAUAUCUCAAAAUUAAUCAGAUGCAGAUGUAUGGCAUGUUCUUUGGUUCUUUUCACUUUACUCUUUGUUCUUAUUCUUUAUUACUUUGCUCUUUAAAUCAUUAAGGCUAACGCCCGGGGUAUUCGCCACAUAACCUUGCCUGAACAUUAAAGUCCAUCAUCGCAGUAUCUCACCACUAGACGUCCGUUUACGGGCUACUCCAACUCCGGAUGCAUAACUCCGGAGCGCAAUCGACCGAGGGAGCGACACCGCCUCGCAUGCACGGAACUCAAAACAGCAAGUAUGCAUCAUAUCGCUUAAACUGCUAAUAGAUUAAUAGUUCCAAUCCUUUGACUUUACACACUAGCUCUAGCCGUUCUUUAACACACUUAUUAUGUGGCAAAACUGCAUGCAAAUCACAUCUUUACAUUUUAUUACUCUCUUGCUAACUCUAGCAAUUCAUUGUUACUUUUGCAUUUCUUUUACUUUAACUUUACACGUGUUUAAACCUUCUUCAUUCCUCUAAAUUCACUUUAGUUCUUUACAUCACACUAAACUCUAGUGUUCAUUUCACAUUAGGCUUUAAUCGAAUGCCACCGAUCUAUUCAUUGUGUCCACUCCUGUGUCUUUUUGCUCCACUUGGGUCUCACAUUAACUCCAUGCACACAAUCUAAGGGUGUUUAACAUGUAUUAGGUUCUCAAUCCAUCUCAUUGCUAAGUUGUGGCCUCACGAAUCAUGAAUCAUUCACAUUUCAUCAUUACCUAUACCACUAAAAUGGCAUGCAACAAUAUAUAGAAACAUAUGCUCAAAGAAUGACACAUUUAGGCAUAGACGAGAAUUCAAUGAGUUUGAAAAUGCACCACCACUUGUAGUCCUCUUUAGGUGCCCGAUGAUUUUCUUAGGAUUUCUAGAGCCUCGAUUCUUUACCUGCGGCAGAAACGAACGCCUUUAUUAGGCCAUUUGCCCAUAACUUUUCAAUACACUUUUUCGAAAUCUAUUCCGAGCCGGCACCAACAGCGUCGGAUAAUACCCCCAAUUAGGUUUUAGAGGAUCAAAUUGCACUUAGAAACCUUCAUGAGCAAAAGCCUCCAAAUUUGGGGCCCUACGCUCCAAAUCACAUAUCAAACCUAGGUUUGAUCUGCAUUGGGAACAAAAGUAGCUUCAUCACACUCUAAUUUAUCUAUCUAGAACCCAUUCCUUGAGGCUUUCCAAAACCCCUAGUUUGGAUUUGCACCAUUAAGAGGUGGGUUGAAUCACUUGACGCUCACCAUGGAUUGGAUCUCUAAAGAAGCAAAAGAAAAGCUUCAAACUCUUCAAAUUCCCAUAAAACGCAUUUCUAGUAAUUCAAAACUCUUCUUCUAGGGUUUUUCUACAAUAAGUCAACAGCUUACCUUUUUUUUUUUUUUUGUAAGCUUUCCUUUCUGCCCCCUACGAGAGAGGGAAGAAGAUGACAGCUUCCUUGUAGGCCCUUGAUCUUCUUCUCAAACUUUCUGCUCUUUCUUUUCCUUCUUUUCUUUUCCAUUUCUCCAUUCUUCUCCUUUUGUCCUUCUAGAGAGAUGAGAGGGAGAGAAAGAGAGUGUGAGAGGGUGAGGGAAUUGAGAGAGGAAAGGCUUUCUCUCCCCACUAAACCCAUUGGUUCAAAAUGCUAGAUAAACCCAUCAAGCUUUCAUCUCUGCCACAUGCCUGACUGGCAGAUUUCGCCAUGGGGCGGGACCGGUCUCCCCGACUAGGGACGCGUCCUCCGAAGCCUCAUCCCAGCGCAGCCAGAGGGCCUGCGCUGCGAUGCAUCCGUCUCUCCUUGUGGGACGGUCUCUGGGGACGUCUUCUCAUGGCAGAAAAGACCAAAAAAAAGACGUUCCCGAAGCUUUCCUUCCAAGGACUAAGCCGCGUUUUUCGCUGUCUCAUCCCUGCACAGCGUCUCCGGGACCGGCUCUCUCCCACCCAGGGACCGUCACGAGAGCUUGAAAAUCUGCAGUUUUGCAGAAUUAAACUCUCUAGCCUCCGAAAAACAGUUCUUAACUACUUUUGAAUCAUUAACACCCUCGGACUUUCGCGAAGUGUACCGUCGCUCGCACUUUGGUCAUUUGACUAAAGUUCGAAUAUUUAUUCCAGAAUUUUCGGUAUAUUUACAAUGCUCCACCCCCUUAAAAAUUAAUUUCGUCCGCGAAUUACGCAUACCUAGCUGCGUCGAUUCAAAUAAGCGGAUACUCUCUCCGCAGUUUUCCCUUCGAGUUCCCAAAGUGCUUCUCCGCGCGACCUAUGGUUGCUUCCACCUGGACUUUCCACAUAAAGGGAUCUUGCGACUUCGCAUUUCUUAAACUUCUCGAUCGAGACUGCAACGGGGUACUCUUCAUAGACAUUCUUCACCGUAGCUCCACGGGCUCAAUAUCAUACAUUGUCGGGUUUCGAUAUACUUUCGAAGAUUAGACACAUGAAACCACAUUUGUGGACUCCCCGAGUCUCGGUGGAGAAUGCGACUUAUACCCACCGCACCACACGCUCCAAUAUCUCAAACGGUCCACAUAACGGGGACUUAGCUUCCACGGACAAGCCCAAAUCGUUUAACUCCAUCGCAUCCGAUGCUUCAAGAAUACACGGUCCGUCCACCGCGAACUCCAAGUCCUUUCUUUCGCUUGUCGCAUAACUCUUUUGCCGAGACUGCGCAAUCGCCAACCUUGACUAGGCAAGGCGAACUUUCUCAUCCGCCUCCGCACUCACAUCAGGGCAAGAGCCGCUCUCUCACCCACGUCGCUCCCAAUGGAUAGAGAACGACAUUUAUCCAUAUAGUGCCUCACAAGCCGACACAUUGCUAUGCCUCUUGGUAGCUAUUAUUGUAGGCGAACUCCGCUAUUGGCAAGAAAUCAGCCAUCCUUCGCUUAUAUAAUCUAGCACACAUACGCUCUGAAGCAAAUCCUCAAGAAUUUUAUUUUGUUAUGUCCGCUCACGAUUGUCCAUCACUCUGGGAUCGAACGCCGUGCUAAAAUCGGAGCGUCGUGCCUAGCGCGUCUUGCAAAUUCUCCAAAAGCGGGAUGUGAACCUGGGUCGCGAUCCGACCCAUCGAACUGGACCCGUCCAUGCAAGUCUCACAACCUCGUCGAGAAUAAACUUGCGCUAACAGCUUGUCUCCCCCCACUGUAGUAUGUAUUCGCAAGAAGUGUGGCCAACUUUGUCAAUCGAUGCCACUUAUUCACCCAUUAUCGCAUCGUGUCCGCCCUUGCGAUCGCUAGUUGAUUCAACAUUUUCAGCAAAGUUUAUUUCUAAAUGAAAAAACAAAUAAGUAACAUGCUACUAAUCUCUCUAAAAAAAAAAAAAAAAAAAAGCAUACAUUCAUGAAAACUAAAUUGUGGCGCAAAUAUAAAGGACUACUGGAUCCUUACAAUAAUUUAUUGAGCUUAAGCAUUUUGGAUCGGUCUAAUAAGUUAAUAUUACUACGGCGAUUGAAUCAUCACAUCUAUUCUUAUAAUCUAUUUUCUAUUAUUUAACUACAUUAAAGGAGGGUUUGGGGGGACUUAGAGUUGACAUUCGUGUCCCCCCAAUCCUCCUCUUCUCUCUGCCUUCUACAUACAAGAACACACACACACACACCACACACAUAUAUAAUAAUAUAAUAUAUAUAUAAAUACAAAAUUUAAAUUUGAUAAUUUAUUAAUUUUAAAGUUUAAAAUUUAAAUUUAAUAUUUUAUUUAAAUUAUACAAAUUAUUUCCAAAUUUAAAACUUUCAUAAUUUAAAAUUUUAAAUUAUUUUUAUAAUAACUUUUUUAUUAAUUAAUAAUUAGAUUAUAAAACUAUAUAAAAUAUAAUAAAAAAUAUAAUAUUAUUAUAAAAAUAAUUUUAUAUCCGCAGGCAUCGUGCAGGUAAUUCACUAGUGUACAUUAAAGGAGGGUUGGGAGGCCCAGAGAGUGACACGUGUCACCCUCAAACCCUCUCUUACUCUCUUUCCCAAUAAUAUAUAAUAUAUAUAUAUUAUAAUUAUAUAUAUAUAUAUUAUAUUAUAUUAUAUAUAUAUAUAUAUAUACUAUAUAUAUAUAUUAAUUUAUAUUUUGAUAUCAAAAUUUAAAAUUUUGAUAUUUUAAUUUUAAAGUUUUAAAUUUUAUAUUUAUAUUUUAAAUUCUAAAUUUAAAUUUAACUUAUAAUAUAUUAUUCUAAUUUUGUAACUUCAAAUUUUAAAAAAUUUUAAAAUCUCUAAACUUUAAUAAAUUAUAAAAUUAAAUUUUAUUAAUAAUACGGGUAAUAAAUCGGAUAAUAAAAUUUAACAUUAUUAGAUUUAAUUUAAAUCAUUAAAAUAUCGUUGUAUAAAAUAAUAAUUUAAGUUUCUUCAAAACCUAAAAAUUUAAAUCUCUAAACAUAUGAAAUAAUUAAUUUAUUAAUAAUAUCAUAAUAAAUCGAUAACUAAAAUUUAACAUGAUAAGAUUUAAUUUAAAUCACUUAAAAUAUCGUUGUAUAAAAAAUACAUAAUUAAAUUUUAAGUGAAAAAUUUUAAAAUAUAGUUAAAUGUAUAUAUAUAUUAAUAUAAUUAAUUUUAUAUUCCUACAAAUUUACUUCCCUUCUAUCUAUUGAUUUUUUAAAAAUAUUUUGAUAAAUUUAUCUCAAAUACUUCUCAUAUAAAUUUUUAUAAAAUAAAGUGAUGUAUAAAUUUAUUUGGGCAUAUAUCAAUUUUAAGAUUUAACUAUUAAAUUAUUUUUAUAUAAUUUUUAUUUAAUUAAUAAUUUGACUAUAAAACUAUAUAAAAAUAUUAAAAAAAUAAAAUUUAUUAUAAAAAUAUUUUAGAUCUGCAGCAUCGCGCGGGUAUUUCACUAGUUGUCAUUAUUGUCAUGAUCGUUUUCUUUGCGAAAGCAAUUUGCUAAAGCAUAUACUGAUUUGGAUCAGGUGCAUCGCAACAAUAUUUAGAGUUUAGUAAAUAUUUACUAUGUUUGAACUUCACCAAACCUAAAUAUUAGAUAAUAUGUUGUAUCCAAAACUUAGUUUGAAAGAAGCUGUUCAAAUAUGGAUGUGGUUUGAACAAAUAAUAAUCUAAGUUUCAACAAAAUGUUGAAUAUAUUUUUAAAUGCAAAUUCAUGUAUUUAAAAUCAAAAUAUUUUAAUCUCAUCGGUACUUCCUAAGUCUAUCUAAACUCUUUCCAAAUGAAAAAGUUAACAUAAUAUAAUUUAACAGUGUUACUCAUUGUGAGAUUAGGUCAUUGAACUAUUUACUAAAAAUUGCCUUUCUUGAGCAUAACAUAAUUGUUAUUUUAAACAGGAAAUUUUGUUUGGACUUGUUUUUAAGACCAGAGUUUUAGUCUGUAUCAAGUUAUUUUCACUUAAAUUAGUAUAGUCAAUUGAGUUGGAUUAUAUAUUACCAUCUCUAAAAUAUUAAUUUUUAUUGGCUAAAAUACAUAAAACCCCCUGUCAAAAUUCGAUUUUUCACUUUACCCCCCUGUCAUUUAAACACCUACACUUUGCCCCCUUGUAAAAUAAAAAAUAUUCACUUCACCCCUUACCGUUAGUAAUCCAUUAGGGUUCCGUUUAUAAAAAUUAUUAUAUAUUUUUUUAUGCCAAAAAUGCUCACAGUCUUCUCUCGUGUGAAUAUGACGAGGGGCAAAAUGGUGAGGGGCAAAAUGGUCAUUUUGUCAUCACAGUUCACACCGUAACCCCCUGUGAAUAUUUUUUAUUUUACAAGGAGGCAAAGUAUAGGCUUUUAAAUGACAGGGGGGAGAAGUGAAAAAUCGAGUUUUGACAGAAAGGAUUUUCUAUAAUUUAGCCUUUUUUAUUUAUGGUCAAACCUCUCCCUCAUGACUGUCCCAUAUCAGCCUCAAUCUAGGACAAAAAUUUUAUAGACAUAAUCUCCAAACAAGAUUGUUUGGGGAUUGCCUAGAUAGGCACCAUAGAGAGAGUGGUGCCCAUCUCACCCGUCAGUAAAAAUAUUUUUUAAUUUAAUUUUAACUUAGCAAAUAUAAUAUUUUUAUUGGGCGGUUGGGAUGGGCGCCACUAUCCAUGUGGCGUCCAUCGAAACAAUCUCCAAAUAAUUUUGUUUGAAAACUAUGGCAAUAAAGCAUUUGCACACAUGGAGUCGAGUCUUUUAGCACUAACUCGAUUAAAUUGUCAAAAAGAAAUAGACUAAGAAAACAAUAAUAAAAUUAUUAUGAAUGGAGACUUAACCUCUUCUAUUGUUAGUUCUUUAGCAAACAACACUAUAUACUUAUAUAGACUACGAACGGGUGCAUGAUGAAGUAAUACUUUAUAAACAGGUGUUUCGUGAAAUGCUCUCUCAAUUGUGACUUUUCAUUUGAUCAGAAGUACUAAUUAGUUAUAUAAGUCAAAUUCAAUAAAUGUAAGAAAUAAUUUCAACGGACAUAUACUCGAAGAGGCACACUAUAAAGAUGUGUCCUUUCAUAUCUUAUUCUUUCACUAAAAAUUACAUCUUUUUACAUUCAUUCUCUAAAACUCUUUGAUCAAAAUUGCAUCUACUUACUAAGGAUUGUAUCCGUUCACUAAAACUUAAAGAACAAAAUACAUUAUUUUAAAAAUUUUCUUAGGACCCCUCAAUCUCUUUAUGGCCAUAGUUUUCAAACAAGAUUAUUUGGGGAUUGUUCCGAUGGACGCCACGUCGCCACAUAGCGAGUGGCGCCCAUCCCAACCGUCCAAUAAAAAUAUUAUUUUUGCUAGAUUUAAAUUAAAUUAAAAAAUAUUUUUACUGGGCAGUUGAGAUGGGCACUUCUCGCCAUAUAGUGCCUAUCCGGACUAUUCCCAAACAAUCUUGUUUGGGGACUAUGCUCAUAAAAUUUUUGUCCGUCAUCAUCGAAAGCUUAUCGGGUCUAUAAAGCUCUACCUUCGGGCCAUUCCCUUCACUACUGUGUUCACACAACUUAUCAUGUCUUGUCUUUUGUAGUGCACUAUAUAUCAUUCAGGAGGGAGAUGAGUUGUUCGAAGUUUUGAACUAGUGAGGUUGGUCGUCGACGAUUUCACCGACGAAGGCUUGAACUCCGGCGAAUGAGAUAGGAGUGCAAAGAUGAAAACUUUUUGUCACUUAGGCUACAUGCUCUUCGUUUCUCCGUUAAACGGUAUAUAUAUUUUUGGGGCAAUUGCUUAUAUAUUUCUGAAAAGUUCCCGACUUUUCGAUUUACCUCUUUUAGAAGGCUAAUAUUGAAAAUACCCUUUCUAUGUUCCAACCUAUUUCUAAUAUACUCCUAAAGUUAAAAUCUGUUAAGUAACUCUGUUAGUUUUGUAAAAUUACUAUUUUGUCCUUUCAAAUAUACCCUUCCACCAUCACUUUCUUUCUUAUUUGCCCUUAAAGUCAGGGGUAUAAAAAGUAUUUGACUUUUGGUCUUUUUCAAUAUACUCCUCUACCGUCACCAACCUUUCUUAUUUGCUCUUAAGUUAAGGACAAAAUUGGCAUUUUAAUUUUUUUUAACUGUGGUAGAUAUUUAACUCACGUUUAACCGAGGUUAACUUAACAGGAGAUAACUGCGGGGGUAUUUUGUAAUAACAGUGGAACAUAUGAGGGGUAUUUUAGAAAGAAAAAAAAAUAGAAAUAAAUCGAAUAUUUCCAAACGUAUGAGGGGUAUAUAGGCAAUUAUUAUUAUUAUUAUUAUUAUUAUUAUUAUUUUUACGCCACUACCAUAGUGCCACGUGGAGCAUUUUUCAAAACGUAAAGUUAGUGUAUAAAAAAAAACCAUUGGUAUAAUAUUAUUGUUUUCUUAUAAUAUAGUUAAUUACUUUGCUUCAUUUAUUUAUUUUUAGAAGUAACUUUACUUAGAAAUAUAAAGUAAUUAAGUUUCAAAUGAGAAUUUGAAUGUCAAUUAUCAAGUCUUAAACAAUUUUGUUAGGUACGGUCGGUAAGUAUGAUUUUUUGACAUGCACUAAGAUCAUAUUGGCGCCAAAUUAAAGUUUAUUAUUAUUAUUAUGCUAAAAUACAAAAAACCUCACUUCUUGUUUUUUUUUUAGUUUUCCACCGUGACUUUAAAAACUCUACAUCUUAUCCCCUUAAAAUUUUAAAAAUAUUUCAAAAAUUAUGGCGUUAAAAUAGCAAAAUAACCAAAUUAUCCUUAUUGUGUAAUUUUUUUUUUUAAUAUAUGUUUGCUAUUUUUAAAAAUAUUUUCGGUGUAAAUUAUAAAAAAUAGUCAAAAUAAUGACAAAAUCAUGAUGAAUGAGGGCUAAAUGUAUCCAUGUAAAAUUUUGAGAGGGUAAAAUAUAAUUUUUUAAAGGGUAAACUUCAAAUACCACCUGUUGUUUCACACUUUCUCAUUUUAAUACCCUAUGGUUUAAAGUGUAUCAAGUUAGCUCCUGUGGUUUCGCACUUUCUCACUUUAAUAUCCUGUGGUUUAAAGUGUAUCAAAUUAGUACCCUAUGCUUUCAUUUUUUUCUUUUAUUAUCCAUUUCGCUAAUUUUUUUCGUUAAACUAGUGACAAAGUUAAAACUAAAGGGUACUAAAGUAAUUAUUCGAUAAACCUAGUUAGGGUAUCUGAAGUUUUUUGUAUAUAAUUUAGCGAAAUAUUACUGAAGGAAAAAAAAAUAGUAAUAAAGUUAAAACUAAAGGGUACUAAAGUAAAUAUUAGAUAAACCUAGAUAGAGUAUCCGAAGAUUUUUGUAUAUAAUUUAACGAAAUAUUUACAGAGGAGCCGAUGAAUAAAAAAAAAUGAAACCAAAUGGUACUAAAUUAAUACACUUUAAACUAUAGAGUACUAAAGUGAGAAAGCGCGAAACCACAUGGUGCUAAAUUGAUACACUUUAAACUAUAUAGUACUAAAGUAAAAAAGUGCGAAGCUACAGCUAUUUGAAGUUUUUUUUUUUUUUUUCAAGAUAAAUAUUUUUUUAAAAAAUUGUGUAUUUUAGCCUUAUUAUUAUUAUUAUUAUAUUAUUAUUAUUAUUAUUAUUAUUAUUAUUAUUAUUUUAAUGAGGAAAGCUAUAUCCAGUACUGACGCAACGGUUGGUGCCUUAGCCCACGUGUCCUCUCCCCCCCCCUCCUCUUCUCUCUCUUCGCCUCCCACGCCUUGUACUAAUUACUAAAAUGUGAAAUCUCCCCAUCUUUCCCUUCAUUUUCGUCGCCAUGGAUUCCCCUCACCAGCUCCUCGACUCCCUCACCGCCCACAUCGCCCUCUACCACUCCUCCUCCUCCUCCCCUUCUAACCCUAACCCUAACCCUAACCCUAGCCCUAACCCUAAUCCCCGCUCCGCCAUCCUCCGGUGGUUCUCCUCCCUCCCCGUCUGCCACCGCCAAUGCGCCCUCACCGUCGUCGACCCCGACUUCGUCGUCGUCCUCCUCCAGAUGCUCUCCCGCCUCCGCCGCCUCGGCCAUGGCUUCUUCUUCCUCCUCCCCGACCUCCCCUCCGCCUCCUCCUCCUCCUCCUCCUCCUCCUCCUCCCUCCCCUCCCUCUGCUUCCGCCGCUCCCGCGGCCUCCUCGCCCGCGCCGCCGCCGCCGACGCCGCCGAGCUCGGCCUCGCGCGGUCCCUCCUCCUCUUCUCCUCCGGCGAGGGCGACGGCGGCGAUCGCACCGCCGUGCAUUGCCCCCUCGAUGCCCUAACCGUCUCCGAGGACUUCGUCUCUGACGUGGAUCGGUUCGUCGAGGUCAUGGACGGGAUCUCCGGGGGGGGUUUCCUCAGAGGGGAGGAGAGUGGGGUGGGAGCCGCCGCAUGGCCGGAGUUGGCGUGGCUGAAGAACAAGGGCUACUACAGCUUGGAAGCUUUUGUGGCGAAUAGGUUGGAGGUGGCGCUGCGGUUGGUGUGGCUCAGCGGCCAUGGAGGGAAGAAGCCAAAGGGAGGUAAAGCCGCGAAGGAGAAGGCGGGGACGGUUGGCGUGGCGGCCAAUGCGUUUUGGAGGAAGAAAGGCUGUUUGGAUUGGUGGCUAGGGUUGGAUUGUGGGCACAGGAAGAAGAUCUAUGAUGCCUUUUUAGGAAAGGCCACGAAAUCCCUGGUAAUUCUUUUACUACAUUGCAUCAUUCAUAUGGGCUUUGAUGGCAUGCCUAUUUCACGAAAGUGGAGGGGGUUAAAUUUGUUUUCAGCCAUAAAUGUCCACUUCCAUUGUUUAGUUUGCUGUAAAUUAAAUUCUCCCAUAACUCUAUUUUCUACUUUUCCCAAAAUGCUGGAAUUGGCUUCACCCUAGAUGGUUGCAAAUUAGGGAGAGAAAGAGAUAGGAAACAUAAUAAAAAAAUUAACUGUUGUGACUUUUUCUCACCCUCUCUUCUGCUAAUGUGAAAAUUUUCAGUAAAACAAACAAAAAGUGGGAUAACUAUAGUUCCUAAGCCAUUAACUUCCUAUCAAACAAACAAUUGUGGAAAAAUAAUUUUCAACUGAACUUAAGUUCAACUGAAAGUCAUUAUCAACCUGAAAUCAGUUAUUGACAAACAAAAAAAAAAAAAGAAACAUGCCUGAUCAUGACUGAACUUUUUGAAGUUAUUAGAUUGUAAAUGAAUAAUUUUAGGGAAGAGUUUGUAAGUGCCUUUCCUGAAAAGACAUCAAAGUUACAGGCAAACAAAAUGAUCGAACUUUUUUAAGUUAUUAGAUUAGAAAUGCAUAGUAUUGUAGGUAAGAGUUUGUAAAUUGUAAGAGCCUUUCCUGAAAAGGUAUCAAAUAUCAUAUGGUUCUAAGAGUUCUCAACCCUCAAACUAAUGUAGCUAUGUUGAGCAGAUUUUAUAUUUUAUAACUAAUUAAUUCAUAAUUCAUCGUUCUUUGCAUUUUGUUUGAAAUUUUGUACUUCUCUAUGUUUGGAUGUAGAUUAGAACACCGCUGCAAAUAAUGCAAAAAACCCUCUAGUUUUUUUAAAAAAUUAUGUAGUCCUUAAUGUGCCUAAAUUUUUCUACGCCAGGUCCUCAUUGGAAGUCGAAGUGAAAUCGAUCUUUAAAGAAACAAUUAGAGAGUAGCCCAGCGUUUGGUACUGUUUAUUCUUUACGCGAUGUUGUGAGUUAAAUUCCUGGCAUUUUUUUUUUACCUUUAUUUCCGAUAGAAGAUUGCUCCUUAAUAGUUGUCUUUAUGCAUUAGAAGAUAAAGGGGUCUUUUCUCUCUUUAUCUCUGUCUUUUUUUCGAUGGGUAGAAAAAGUCCUAUUUGGUUGUUGGAGCAAGUUAUUUGAUGAUAGCUUGUUGGAUAUGGAGACUUCUCUUUUCCCUUUUUUUUUGGGGGUGGAUUUUUGGUUUUGNUGUUUACAAUGUAGGAGUUUGAUUUUUAGCUAUUGUGGUUGUUCGGCUUUUAGCUAUCGUACUGUAUUAAAUAUCAAUUAUUCAAAAAUUUUAAAAUAGUAUGUUUCGCUUAUAAAAUGUUUUAUCAUAUUUGGAUAAAGAAAUAUCAGAAGGCCCACAUAAGGGCUUUCACACACCUUAUCACCUAUUCACUGAUCAAUUUUCGAGUUAAUAAAUUAUAAAUGCCAAACAAAUAUUCAUCUAUUUGCUUAUACUAAUUUUUCCACGACAAAUUACUUACCAAGCAAAUCUUUAGUUGGUAAUUCUUAUCCAUGUUAAAUUGUGCUGUUGACAUUGUAUUUCUUCAUAUGAUUAAUAAGGCAUAAAUAUUCUCAUACUGAAUUAAUGUUGGAUAAGAAUUUUUGAUUAAAUUUUUGAAUAAUAUAUUUUCGGCCCUUCUUGAGAUAAGAUCCCGCCCCAAGUCUAGUCUAUCCUUCUUCCCUAUCCUCCUGCAUUGCAUCGCACCACUGCCAUCUCCUCCCUGUCCUCAGCUAUUACUGUUACCCUUCUCCUCGUCAUUAUCAUUGUACCUCUCUUUGCUCUACUUCUACUCCCACCACUGCCUCUUUCUUCCUGUCCUCCAUCUCAUGUUUUAACCUUAGAUCCAAAAGCUAGUGACCAAUGAAAACAAAACAGAGAGAGAGCUUGUGCUGGCAAGAAAAGAGAGCAUCAGCCGCCGUGCAGUCUUCUUGAGGCCUUACCCACCCCUAGCAAGUUGUGGGUGAGCGUCUGCAUGGAUGGCAAAAAUGCACGUCGCUCUUUGACAGGCUUUGACAAUUUCACCGUUCCAUGUGUAGUUGUUAACAAUCCGCACCAUGUAAUGCGAAACUUGUUCCUUCUAGUUGCCACCUUUAGUGAGCUCGUGAACCUACAAUGAUUGAAAUCCAGCUGUUUUUAGAAUGCCCACCUUCUCCCAGUCAUACCGCCUCCUCCUCUGCCCGUUCCUUCUCCUUACUCUCGUCCUUUGCUAUGCUUAUCAACAUAAGAGGAGGAGAUUUAGUAUUUUUAUAUGUUGUUUUUGCUUUCUUUAACAUAUUUGUGAUGGCAUGUUGAUGGAACAAGAUAAUUGGCAAACUGAUAAAUGUCAAUUGAUUGAAGGAGGUAUUCAUUGAUUUCUAAAUAGUAAGCAUGUAAGCUGACAUUAUGUAGGGGAUUUCUUCCGUUUCAGCGCAUCAAAUAUUAGAGUUCCAUAAUUUAUGAAAGUCCUCUUAGUCAGUUGAGAAGCAAAUUUUAGCAAAAAUGAAAUGAUACCCAUGUUAUUUAUAGUUGAAAAAUAUUUUCUAGUCCAAUUAAUGCUUUGCUAGAUACUAUAUACAUAUGGAUGAGCACAUCGCUAAUAAAUCAUUUAAGAUUUAUAAUGUGUGUUCUCAAGCUUGAUAUCAGUUUCUAGCUUAUCUCUUUUCGUCUACACUUAGGGCAUAUAAUCAUACAUGUGUAAGAAAUAGUAGGCUAUCUACGCUUGGAAUUUUUUUCUUCUAAUGACUUCAAAUACACUAGAUCAUUACCAAUGGUGGCACGGGUUGUCAUUUCAAACAAUUUAACUUAGAUUUGAGAGGCGAAGAUUUGGGCUCAAAUCCACUUUAGUGUACAUUGGCCUUACUCUAUAUAUAUUAAUGUAUGUUCCAUUUCUGUGCAUCCAAUCUGACCACAAACACUGGGAAUUAUCAGGCAGGUGAAGUUACCAAGGGAUGUAACAAUUUUUUGAGAAAUGAAGUGUACUUUCAUAAUCCUGAAGCUGGAUCACUGAUAAGACAUGAUCCCACUGCAUCUUACAAAAAUUUAAAGCAGUCGUUCUUCAGAAGGAAUCGGGACAAUAACAUGGAUACCAUGAGCAUCAUAUCUUCUGCAAAACAGCUAACCUUGGCCAAAUUUUUGAACAGAUUGCAAGUGGUUCAGGAGAUUGCUCGCUUAAGAUGCAAUAACAACCAACUUGAAAGCAACACACUAUUUUUCACUACACUAGCAUCUGCUGGCACUUUAUCAGAUUAUGUACUCAUGAAACUGCGGGCACUUCUUAUGGCUGUAUCCAUAAGUUAUAAAAAUAUCGAACUAAUAGACGAUACAAACUCAGAGAUUCAUCCAGAUAAAAGUCUAGAGAAGUGUAACACUGGUUCUCGGAAAGGAAAGAAAAAGUGUCGUAAUUCAGGAAAACCAAAUGCCACUCUUAACCUGUCCAAGGUUGGUUUUGAGAUCUUCGACUUAAAUUAACUUAUGUUGCCUGCUUGUGCUUUUCUAAAGAUUAAUAAAUUGUCUUAUGGAUUAUUUCUCAGGAUCACGGAUGCGGAAGUAAAGAAGGGAGCCGCACCUCUGGGGUGCUGUCACCCCAAUGUAGUCUCUUAGCCGCAGACACACAGAUCAAAGCCACUAGCAGGCCCCUUAAUGGAAGUUCUAGAAAAGAGCUUGUAUCAAACAAAAAUGAAGAAAAGGUUGUAAGAUCUUGUAAUUCUUUUUGUUAUCUAUUAUUUCUUUUCUUUUUCUUUUGAAGAUAUAUUAUUUUCAUAAUUUGGAGCAUCUAUUGCCAUAUCAGGAGCAUGGCAAAGGGUUGGGUGAUUGCAAGGGUCAUUCCACUAAGAAGAAAAGCAAAAGAAAAGGAGCUAAAAUGAAAGCUUCUAAUUCAUCAGAAGUUCAAAUCCCCAUGUCUGGAAGCAUAAAGAAAGCAAUUCCCUCUAAUACUGCUGAUAGCAUAUUGGAAUCGUCUGAACUAACUGGACCUGUGUCUCUCAAGCUCUAUGCAAAUGAUUCAGAUGCAAUGAGUGAGCUAGGACCAGUUGACGUAGAUGAGAAACCAACAGGUACUAAGCUAAAUAAUGGCAUUCCUUCUUGCCCUUUGACUAGGGCAGAAUGUUGUAAUUGUUCAAGCCAAUUUAAUGGCCUUAGCAUGGUCCAGAGUGAUUUGCUAUAUGCUGCACCAUCUGAAGAGACCCCACAAGCAUCUCCAUGUUUUCCUUUCACGGAAGAUAAUAUUUGCAGCAAUCAACUGAUCAGAAACAAUGUUGGUUUAAGAAAUCUGGAAGAAAGAGUUUGUGAAAGUGGCUUAACUCACAAGGAAUGUGACCAUCACGGGACUUCAAUUGGAUGUGAGGGUAUGGACCUCUCUUUGCCUGCAGUUGCUCUUGAAGGUGGUGUAGUUAAUAAAGAACAACUGCUUCAAGGUCUUGUCAGGAAUAAUUGUUCAGUGAUUCAAAAUGAUGGUGGUGAAUGUUACAUCUAUGACCACAGAAACCCAAUGGGAGGAAAAUCGUAUGAGUGGCCUAGCAUAACUCCUCUUAAUUUUAUAUCAACUAAUGCCCAGCAUCUCCCAGCUGCAACAGAUAGAUUGCAUUUGGAUGUUGGCCAUGAAUGGCUCACUAAUCUUGAUCCUUCUUUCCUUCCUCCCAAGAAUCCAGUAAGAAACUCAUCAAAUGAAGGUGGUAGUCGAAUUUUACCAGCUUUACCAUUGCCCUUGAGUUCCGAUUGGCCUCCCAUGGUUAGAAGCUACAGUAGACCAAGUCAAAAUUUCACUCUAUGUUAUGAUUCCAUGCACAACCCAAGAAUGCAAUCUUCAGCAUGGGCAGGUGAUAUUUUUGACACACUUGAUUUAAAAAAUACAUCUGAGUUUGCUGACGAUUCUGAAAGUUAUUGGUAUUCUGAAGAAGAAAACGAAAACCAUGCAUUUUCUGGAAGGAACUAUAACCAAUAUUUUGGUGGUGGAGUAAUGUAUUGGAGUCCAGCUGAAUAUGUUGGGUCUGGCUUUUCUAGGCCACCAUCUCAUAGUUCAGACGAUAGUGCUUGGGCUUGGCAUGAAGCAGAUAUUACUCGAGCUAUUGACGACAUGGUCGGUGUGCCCGCACUAUCUUCUUCCUAUAAUACAAAUGAUGUUGCCUCACCACCUGCUACUUCAUUUUGCUCGCCAUUUGAACCUUCCAGACCUCCACAACAGUCUGUUGGUUAUAGUAUGGCAGGUAAUGAUAUUAAUGGCAAGGUGUUGAACUCCUCUUCUUCAAUUUCAGAUGGCCUAGAAGAAAAAGUCUCAAUAUCUGUGCACAAUUCAUCUAGUAGUGUUGAAGGAGCGAAAGGAGAUACACUUCCAUAUUCAAUGCUGCGGCCAAUAAUUGUUCCGAGUAUAUCAAGACGGGGAUCAAGAUCUGAAUUUAAGCUUACGCAUGAUCAUAGAAGUCCAUGUGUACCUUCUACUAGGAGGGAUAUUCCUCGUAUGAAGCGGCCUCCAUCCCCUGUUGUGCUGUGUGUUCCUCGAGUGCCUCGACCCCCUCCGCCUUCUCCUGUUGGCGAAUCUAGAAAGCGAGGCUUUCAAGUUGUUAGGUCUGGUAGUUCAAGCCCUAGGCAUUGGGGUGUGAGGACUUUAUGUUCUGAUGAAAAAAAGUCUGAUAGAACUCAAGUUUGUUUGGAUGGGCCUGAAGUUGUUUGGCCUUCUUGGGGAAACAAAGGGCUUCCUCCAGCUACGAUGGUGCCAUCUAUUCAGGGUCCUGUAUUGCAGGAUCACCUUAUCAAGAUUUCCCAGUUAGCUCGCGAUCAAGAACAUGUGAGCAGUAUUUCUUGACUUAGGGCCUGUUUGGUCCAGUUGGAGGUUUGGAGCUUUUGAAAAAGUGCUAUUUGAGCAGCUGUUCAAAGAAGCACUAAACCGCUGGUUUCCUCCCAACAUCUUCCUGCUGUAGCAGAAGCAGAAGCUUCAAAUUGGAGCUGCUGCAUUUGGGGCUCAGAAGUUCAUUUUAUCCAUGAGCAGAAAAGCAUCCUGACUUUUCAUUUGCUAAAUGCCUGGUUGUAUUACUUGGAGUAGAAAAGUUGUUCCAGAGACGGGACAGAAGCUCUUUUUCAUGUACUUGUUAAAUGCAUUCUGAUAUAUCAAAAAACUAAUGUUGCAGCCAGACAUUGCAUUACCUUUGCAACCCUCUGAUUUAUUGAACUGUCCAUCUCGAAAGGAAUGUCUCUCUUUGAUGCAAAGUCUUCUUCAUGAAGAAAUCGAUUAUUUUUGCAAGCAGGUAUGAUGCCUUUUAAGAUUUUAUUUAAAUUUUUACUGUAUAGUUUAUAAAGCAGUGGUAGUGCUUUAUGUUAUCCUGUAAAAAGAUCUGCUUCAUUCACUGUAUACAGAUAUAUAUUUCUCAUUGACAUAAAUUAGGCUAGGAGACUGCUAGAAGCAAACACGAGUUGAAUGCUGUAAAUGUUUUUAUGAAACAAAACACAUCAAGACAUUGGCUUUUUAAUAAGAUACAUGCUUCUUAACUGUCAUGCUUUCAAAUUUUACCAUUUUGCCUCAAAGGUAAUUGCUGGUUUGUCGUUAAUGGUAAAUCUAAGGUUGCUGCUGAGAAUCUGACGAGGAAACCAUAUAUUAAUUGGGCUAUCAAGAGGGUCGCGCGCUGUCUUCAGGUCCUUUGGCCUCGUUCUCGAACAAAUAUAUUUGGUUCUAAUGCGACUGGUUUAGCACUUCCAACUAGUGAUGUAGAUCUUGUGGUUUCUCUCCCUCCUGUUAGGAACUUGGUAAGAAUUAUAUGAAUAUUUCUUGUAUGCUUGUUCCUCAUUCUGAACAAAAUUCAUUGAUGGAGUUGUUUGUCAGGAACCUAUUAAAGAAGCUGGAAUUUUGGAAGGUCGAAAUGGUAUUAAGGAAACAUGCCUUCAGGUAAGUUGGCUUAUUGUUAGCUGGUAGUGCUACAAACUAUAUCAGUUAUUUGACUUCAUACAGUAGACAUUCUCUUGCAUGAAAGGAUUACCACAUGCAACAAUUGUAUAGGAUGUAUGAAGCAAAAUGUACGCUCCUUGUUUUUGUUGGUUGACUUUUGUACCUUAAAUAGAUGUUGCAUAUGUUCUAGUCAGGGUCGCAUAUUUUCAACUUUAGAUAUUCAAACUGACCCCCUAUGAUUCAAGGAAUAUCAGUUUGAACCAAGGAAUAUCAGUUUUACUCUUUUAUUGCAGGUGUCAUAAUCAUCUCAAUUCUGCUCAUUCUGUUAUAAUGUAGCUACAAGGAUUUCUCACUAUAGUUUUCUUUUAUUUUAAGAGAAAUUGAGCAGGAUUUUAGACACGCCCUUAGUGUGCCGCAUGAUAAAGGAUGUGACUGCAUGCUCAUAGUCAUUGAUAUAUUUGCCAUGGGAUACUUAUGUGCCAAUUGGCCAUCAACAUUCUACGUGUAAAGUGUAAGCCCUUCCAUGGUUGUCAUGAGCUAUAUUGAGGCCCUUUUAUAUACCAGCAGGCUUCAGCAUGUAGUACAGUCUGUGUGUGUCCCUUGUAUUACACGAUAAUCUUUGAUCAAAGCAUAACUCUCGACCCUCACAGUCAUCAUGUUCUUUCUGUUCUGACCAACUUGACAAUCCUUGAUCAGAAUAUGAGACUCCACCUACUUGACAGAACAUCAGACCCCCAUACUCAUCACGUUCUUUCUGUUCUGACCAACUUGAAAACCCUUGAUCAGAUUAUGAGACUCCACCUACUUGGCAGAUGUGAAAGACUCAUUAUAUAGUUCCUAUGCUCAUCAGUAUAAUACUGCGCUGUGGUGAUCCCUGCUUACCACACUUGCCUUAUAAAACUUCUUAGUUUAAGUGUAUCCUUUCUCAACUCACCCACCAGUUUGAUGUGCCACCAUAGAGGUCCAAGACAACUUAAAAAGUAGCGCUAACUAAUAAGUUAAAAUUUGAUGUGCAAGUUUUCCUAUAUAAUGUCCCUGGCCUUGAGUUUUGGUGUUGAGCUAGGUUCAUGUUGCUCUGCAUAGGAGAAAGUUUUGAGUUAGAAUUUUAACAUUCAUCUUUGAUGACAUUCAUCAUAAAGUUAACUGCUAUGAUUCCUACCUAAAAUGAAAAGAAAAACUUUCCUCAACUCUCAAAAGCGGUCUUUAUUGACACCUUUCGUUCAUCGACAUCACAAAUUCCUCUCAUUUUUCCAAGAAUCAUCUUUCUGAAUGUGUGUGUACCUUAUUUACCUAUUAUGUCAAACUUUAGAGAUAUGAUAUCUGGAGAUGCAUUUGUACAUAGCAUACAAACACUUAACUAGUAUAAGCAUAUUGUUUUUCCUUUAUAGUAGCAGUUAAUACAUUUCAAAGAUAUUUGUCUUGGUUGCCUUUUUUCAAAGUUGUGUGGAUCAUCUGGUUCUUGUUGCAGCAUGCAGCAAGGUAUCUUGCAAACCAGGAAUGGGUUAGAGGUGAUUCCCUCAAAACAAUUGAAAACACUGCAGUAAGCCCCUUUUACCUGUCUAUUGUUAUUCUAGUAUUUCUUUGAUAUAUAUGUGCUCAUAACCCCUGCAGAAUUGUCUAAUUACAUAUCCCUGCAGAAUAUGAAUUUUCAUUCGAGUCCUUCAAUACCUAUUAAUCCUCAUAUGUACCUUUGUACUUGGAUACCCUCCUUCAUAAACUUUUUCUAGUAGAGAACCAACUUGCCCUAUGAAUUAUAUUAACUCCCCCUAUGUGAGAUUGGGGCAUUUUCGCCAUAAACUGCACUUUUGAGGGGCAUGCAUGAGAAUUCAGACUUUCAUUUCCAGACCCUGGCUUGGCUUGUCAUUCAUAUCCUGACUCAGCCGGGAUUCAUCUCACACUUUCUGCUGGUAAUUGGCUUUGAUAUCAAUUGUGAUGCCCCGCUUCCCAGAGGGUCACCCAUUCUAGAGUUACUCUAGCUCUAGCAUGCUUAACCCUCUUAACCUCAUGUGCCUAACCACAGCCCAAAAUGCUAUAGCUGAGUUAAGAGAUUUAGUCAUAUUAUACCUUAUAUAUAAGACUAUUCCAAAUACUAGUGGUGUCACAGAUACGUAGAUAAAUUUGCAGGGAUAUGUAAAUGUACAAGCCCCUGUUUCUUUUAUUUUCCUUUAUCUUUUAUGUACUUUAUGAUAUGGUCUCCAGAUACCUGUCAUCAUGCUUGUGGCUGAAGUUCCUUGUGACAUUAACCUCUGCAAUGAGAACUCUUCUGUAGUAGAUGCCUCACAAGAUCAUUCAAUCACUAUCGCUGGGGAGCAAGGAAGUGUUCCUCAUUCUGAUAGUUCUUGCCCAGAAAGUAGCUCCUGGCCUAUGUACUCAAAGAUGAGAAAGGAUGAUGCCGCUGAUGUCAAAUGUAUCCGUCUUGACAUAAGCUUCAAGUCACCAUCACACACUGGACUCCGGACUUCUGAAUUGGUAAUCUCUAGCUUUCUAUUUUAUUGCAUAGGUAUAUGCGUCACUACUAUCUGUCCUAGCAACAAAUUUAGUCCCCGAAACUUGAUCUUGAUUCCUAUUUUACCCACAGUUUUGAUUGUAACAAUUUAGGUGAAGUUUGCUCUGCACAAGGAUUGCCCACGCAACCCACACUGCGCUGUGUCGACCGUGCUGGCACAUGGCACGGGUGUGCUGCAACUUAUUUUUAAGUGUUUCGGUGUCUUUCUUUUUUUUUUUACUUUUGAGAUGAAAAGUUUUAGAGAGGUUUUUUCAUACUUGACAUACGUAGAUGUUGUGAAUUCAUUAAUGUUUGAAGCAACUAGUGAGGUCCAUUGCAUAAUGAGAAAACUUUUGUGAAACAACACAAAUUAGAAGUCUUUCCUGAUCUUUUUUAACAUUUUAGAUCUAGUGAAUUUACCCGUGGUAUUGUUUUCCUAUAAUUUUUUGUGCAAUUAUGAUUAUUUUUCUUUUCGUGUAUAUACUUUCGUAAUAUAUGUAAAAUGAUUUUUUUUUCCCGAUUGUUAAGAUCUUUAUUACUCUAUUCUAAUUAAUUGUGUGAGAUUUAAUACUUGAGCCAUUUGUAUAGCCUCUUUAAGCAGCUAUAUUUUUUUAAAUAAUAGUAUAAUAAAAAAGCAUGCCAACACAUGCCAGUGUGCAAGUAUUAAAUUGCGUGCCGACAUUGUUAGGUCUUGUGGCACCAUGCCGUACUGUGCCAUGCUGCUUGCACGACGUUCCUUGGUUCUGCAUAAUAAUAAUUAAAUCCUACUGAUAGUCUAUUUGAUAUGUGCCAUGUCAUCAAACUUGCAAAAGUUUUACUUUGAGGAUGAAUUUGAAAUCAAGGUCAAACUUCAGGGAUGAAAUUCAUUUGGAGAUCAUGCUUCAGGGACUAAAUUGGUACAAUUGAAAAUUGGGUAAAUUACAGUACUAGUCCCUGAAUUUUCACUCAAGUUUCAUUUUGGUCCUCAAAACUUUCAAAUUAUCUGUACACCUACAAAAAUAUUUCAUUGCAGUCCUUUGAAAUAAAAAUUGUUGCUCGCACCUAAAUUAUCUUUUGCUCAUACACCACAAAUUUUGCCAAUCCUUCGUCCCACUGGCACUUUCAAUUAAAUGGUCUAAAAUCUAAAUAGUAAAAAGAUUGGUACUAAAUUUGUAGUGUUGAAAUAUGUGAUGGAAUAAAGAAUCAAUAAAUGCUUAAUACAUAUGUAUACAAAUGCACUGGGUGUAGGCAAUAGUUUUCCUUCAAUAGUGAAUAUUCAUAGGGACUAAAAAUAAAGCUCUUUUAAGAUUUUAGGGAUAAUAAUGCCGACCUUAAAAGUUCGAGGACCAAAAUAAAACUUGACUGAAACUUUGGGGACUGGUGGUGCAAUUUAUGCAUUGAAAAUUGUAAUUCGAGUCAAAUAUCAAGUAGUGAAUUUCUAAUUAACCCUUCUAUUAUACUUUAGAUCCAAAGAACUUUUGGUUGCUAUCUAUUCUUAUUCAGCAACCAGCUCCCUAAAAUGGAAUCCACCAUUUGCUAUAGAUUUGGAUAUUUAUAGAGAACUGGAUUAUGAAGAAAGAUUUGAAAGACUGAUAGUUCGAAGAAUAGGUGUGCGUAAAAUUUUAGGCUUGCUUUCUAUUUUCCUAUAUAUAUUUUUUUCCUAAAAUCAUUUUGGUAUAUACCUAUACAGGUUAGAGAUCUCACUCAACAGUUUCCUGCUUCCAUGCCUCUUGCUUUGGUUCUCAAAAAAUUUUUGGCUGACCGUAGUUUGGACCACUCCUACUCUGGUGGUUUAAGUUCUUACUGUUUGGUAAGUAUUUAAUCUCUAUCUUGUCUUGUUGUUCAAUAAUAUUUUCUUCACAGUGAAAUGUCAAAUUAAUUAAUAUUUUUUUGAAUGAUAUCUUCGUGGUUAUUCUCAUACUGUUCCUUGGCUUGUUCUUCAUAUUUGAAGGGGCUCUCUCAUAUGUCCUUAAAGAUUAUGCUGACAUGUCUUGAUUCUGAGUUGCCUGUUUAUUUCACUAAUGUUCAAUUUGAGGAGGUUACUUACCUUCAUACUUUUUUAAUCUCUUGGAGAUGAGGAAGGUCCCAAGAAGAGACAAAAAUCCCUUGUAAUAUACAGUUACUACCUAAUAAAUUGAAUUUAGUUAUGGCAUCUAUCCAAAGAUAAGUAUGUGAAAUCUUCAUUUGGCUCCAGGUUAUUUGUUUAUGAUAGUUUUACAAUUAAGCAGUAUAAUUGUACUUGAGCUAUUAUGGGUUUCCUGUAUCUCUAUUUUUAAGGAUAUCGCAAUCACAAAUAGUUUAGCCACUCACUUUUACUUUGUUCCAUUCUGCAGAUCUUGCUGAUUACUCGCUUUCUUCAGCAUGAACACCAUGUUGGCCAGCCGACUAACCAAGUAAGCCUCGAAGCUAUAAUAUGCAAAAUGCAAAAGGAUGUUUUUUUUUCCUUAACGGUGGUGUGUAGUUUUUACGUAAGCCUGCUUUGUUUCUGUGUAAAUAUAGAUUGGUAAUGUAUACUAGAAGUAGCUAUUUUUUUUUUCUUUUCUAUUGAACAUACAGUUCUUCUACAUUAAUGUCAAUUAUAACUUUUGCUUGAGUCAAUUUAAAUCAUGAAUAAGUUGAUAAGUGGAAGUACAAGCACUUAACAUAUCUAGUGCUAGUUUAUAACACAUAUAAAAUGCUAACUUAAUCCAUGCUAAUUGAUAAGGCGCAAAAUUUUGUUAGUCAAAAAUUCAUGAAAAAGGAUAGUAACUUCGUAAAAAUUUGGUUAACUUGGGCUAUAUCUGCUGUAGAGGCCUAGUAAAGUUUAUUUAGAACCAAUUGAAUUUAUCUGAAGAAUUUUAUUAGCUACAUCUGUAGUAGAGAUUUAUGAGUAAGUUGAUUAAUUUUUCACGUAGUUCAGAAGACUCUUCUCCUAAGCAAAUCCCUUGUGCUUGGUAAUGUCUCAUAACAUGGAUCCAAUGUAGAAAUCUUAAUAUUUGUAUUCCUGUUAUUUUCAGGAUAAUUCAGCCUUUUCAAAAGUAAUUCAGUUGAUCUCCUAUUAUGCUUUAUUUCUUAAACUCGCUUUCUAUUCUGUAGGGCUAACAGAUAUUUUUUUUAACAUGUGAUUUUAUUCAACUUAAGUGGUUGGUCAUGUAGGAUACUGCCAAGCUAUUAGAUUGCAGGUAUAUUUUUGCAAUACUGUAGAUGAAAUAUUGAAGGUCGCCGGAGCAAUAAUUAUAAAUGUCCCUAUUUUCAAGCGUCCGACUUUUUAGAUGGUAGGUAUACUGCUGAAAUACUGUAGACAAUUUUAAAGGUCAUUAGGGAAAAGUUAGAUACAUAUAAAUGUCUCUAUUACCCUUGGUACUUUGAAAUGACACAAUUAUGAGCAAAUAAUGAAUUGCGCUGUAAGUUGCUAGGAAGAGCUGUCUCAUGCUACUUUGCUGUCAUUACUCAGUUAAAAAAGGUAUUAGAAGAUCACUUAUACAUUCAUUUGAUUUUUUAUCUAUUUUUCUUUUCAAUUAGACUACUAUAUAGAUGAAUCUAGAAUUGUUAUAUAAAUAGAAUGUGAUGCGCCACUUCCCCAGGGGGUCACCCAUCCUAGAACUACUCUAACCCUAGGCUCAAUCAACUCUCUUAACUUCUUGGGUCUUGCGACUAUCCAAAAUGCUAUAGUUGGGUUAAGAAGUUUAACCCUACUAUAUUUUAUAUAUAGGAUUAUUCUAAAUCUUGGAGGUGUCAUCCCCCCAACCCUCCCACCCCCAACCUGCGAGCGCUAAUGUCCUCGUUAGCUCAUGCACACACAAGUUUCAGACGAUGUGAGACUCGUCUCUCUAGCCUUGAGGGGAGUCGCGCUUCACCCACAACGGCCCGAGAGUCGCACUCUUGCCCGCUGUAUGACACUAGUUCAGCAAGACUUACCUCACACUUGCAGCUGGUGAUUGGUUUUUGAUACCAACUAUGACGCCUCCCUUCGUGGAGAGUCAUCCAUCCUAGAACUGCUUUAACCGUAAGCUUGCUCAACCCUCUUAAUCUCUUGGGCUUAGCGGCUGCCCAAAAUGCUGCAACUAGAUUAAAAGACUUAACCCUACUAUACCUUAUAUAUAGGACUAUUCCAAAUCAUGGGGAUGUUACAUAGGACUAGUUUUACAAGUAGUUUGAUCUAAUAAAUGCAACAUUAGCAUCUUCACACACAGCUUAAUAUAACUUUUUUGUUUUUUUUCCUCAGCAGAACCUGGGCAGCCUUUUGAUGGAUUUCUUUUACUUCUUUGGGUGAGGAUAAGUAACUCAAUUUUCCUUUACAUAAUUGAAGAGAUGUAUUAAGUGUUGCAAAAUAUUCUGGUAAUGAAUGAACUUCGAAUGUGUAAUCGAAUGUGGUGAUUUCUUUUUAACAUGAAUUGCAGGAAUGUAUUUGAUCCACGCCAAAUGCGUAUUUCUAUCCAAGGAACUGGCCUCUAUAUGACCCGGGAAAGAGGGCUCAGGUUAGGAAAGUAAUGGAUUACGUAAAUAGAAAUUCACCUUCAUUUUUUUUUUCUUUCUUGUAAUGUUACCUCAUUUGUCAUGUCUAUCCAACAUUUUGCAGCAUUGAUCCGAUUCAUAUUGAUGAUCCUCUGUACUCAGAUAACAAUGUUGGCAGGAACUGCUUCCGUAUUCAUCAGUGUAUCAAGGUCAGUUCACUUGUUUCUGCUUCAUCCACAUCCCAAGUUCUAUAUACAAUGGAUGUGUGAAAGAAGUGUGAUGAUAGGCUGUUGGUUCUAUCUUUAUGUUAAAGAGCUGUGUUUAUUCGCCUCGUAUCUCUGCUCAUACGAUCAUUCCAAUAGAUUUGAACAACAAUUGAAUUUCCGAUUGCUUUAAAGAAUUCUCUACAUUAUGAAUCUGUUAUCUUUUGAUUACUUUGAAACUCAAAAAUAUCCUUAUAUUCAUGACAUACUGCAGUAACUUUAUUAUAUUCGUUGAUCUCGCUUUUAUGUUUUUCUCGCCUGCCUGCUUUAUAAUGUCUGAAAUACUUUUUUAGGAGUUUGUAGUAAGAUAUUCAUUGGUCUCCCCUUGUUUCUAUCUUUUCCAAUUUUAAAAAUUCAUUAUACAAAAUCUUAAGCCCCUUAUUUAGCAGUGUAAAUUGUUGCUUAAACUUGUCUCUUUCUUUUCUUCCCUACUUUUCUUCUAUUUUUCAGUUCAGAUAUUAGUGUCUAAUGAGGCCUUCUGAACUGUCAUAGUUACCUUACUGGAUCUUUUGCUGACAACUCUUCUGUGUGAGCAUUAGUAUAUAGGCAUUUUUAGGAAAGUUUGUAGAGAUGAUGAUUUUUCAUGAUGCGUUCAUUUGUAUAAAUCUUUUCGGUUAAACAUUUAUUAUGUCUCACAUUGUAACUGUAUUGUUGUUGUUUCAGGCUUUUGCUGAUGCUUACUCUGUACUGGAAAAUGAGUUAACACAGUUUUCUGGAGAUCAUACUCCAACUUCAGCAUCGUCAUUCAGUCUACUUAGGAAAAUCAUCCCUAGUAUAGACCAUGAUGGUUAAAUUCUGAUUUUCGAGUACAUUGGAACUGACCUUAAUGCAUGUCCGGCAUUGAGAUGAGCUCCAGCUCUCUACCACAGUGACCACGAAAAACGACUCGACGCCUAUGGUUUGAUAUCUCUUUCAGAGCUCUUUUACUACUGGAAUGGGUUUUGAAUGUUAUUUUUUUUAUCAGUUGCAUUGUUGAUAAUGCUGUUGCACAUCCUUCCAGUGUAUUAAAAGAUUUAGGCUUUUACAUUUAUAUCCCUGCAAAAAUCACCUCUUUACUUAAAAAAAACUCUUGUAACAUGUGAAUUUGUGAAUAUACUGCUUCAUGUUGCAGUUUCUUUCAAAACAUAUUCUUAAGUUGUAGUAUUAAUCAAUUCAUGGGGGAAACAUGAUUUUUUAUGAGAAAUGAUUUUAUUGAAAUUUGUAAUUGAAGGCAAUAUUUGUAAGAAAUUAUGUCCUUGAAUGGCAAAUGUGAAAAUUUAGAUUUUGCAAGGAUAUAAUAACACUUUAGGGGAAAUGUUUGCUAAUAUAAUAAGCAAAGUUUCUAAGAUGGAAAUAACAUGCAGGAGUUAUGUGUGCUAGUUUUUCAUGUGGCGGAUGGAUGAAUUCGUUACUGCAGGUAAAGCUCCCCGCUGACAUUACUGAAAAUAAAUCAUUUAUAUCUUUCUUCUGAACUUUAUACUAACAUUUUGUUGUUAAUAAGAAAAAAAAAUGUGUUGCAGGGAUCGGCAUUUUAACUGCUGGCAUGUAUGCAUUUGAUGCUUCUGGUGUUACAAACCUGCUUAAACUCUCCUCUUUCUUGUAAGUGCGGCUAUAGAUGUCUUAAUUUUCAUCCACUUAAAUAAAGCGUUGACUUUUAGGUAUUACCAGGUUUGAGAGUCAAUUUGAAAUUGUUUCUUUUGCCUUCAAGAGAAAGCACUAGAGAGGGGCUGCUAUGUGUAUUGAGAAGAGCUUAUUACAGUGCAGAGAAGGAAUAGGCCAAAUUACAAAACCCUCCACUUUAGCCUAUGUCUUAAUUAAUCGUUGCCUAAAAAUAUUGCAUCAUUUCAGCCCUGUAGUUUACCACUGUCCUAGCAAGUACCAAAAAUUUGGGAUGGUUGUUGAAUUUGGAUGCAAAACUUCACCGGACUGAGUUUGCAUAUUCGUUUUAUAUCCAGCAUCUAAGUUGCAAGUUGCAACUUACAAAAACAUAAAAUAAAACUAGAUAAAAGAGGUCCUCUCCUUUACCAAAGCUUCCAAAUUUGGCAGUUUAUUUGGCAAUUGAUUCAGUCUAUGUGAUUCUACUCCGCUGAAUAUAAGUAAUGCCAUCUGCUAAUUUUCGUCAAGUGUUGCAUCCAAAUUCCACGAGUCAUCUUUAAAAACUUGGUACUGUUUGAGAUGCUGCUGAAGUGUAGGGUUGAAAUUGAUGCAAUUUUUUAUGAUGGGAGUAAUCGAUACGCUGUUUGAACUGCAGGGAACUUGUAAUGUUGCCUAUUUUGUAAUUCUGCCAAAGAAACAUACAGGAAUUUGGAUGCUUGAACACUCUAGUUGCAUUUUAAAGACGUAGGAUAUUCCAGUAUAACUUUUUAAAAAAUAAAUGAACAGAUGUUGAUAUUAGUGAGAAUGCUUUGGCAAGAAUGUUUGCCAUGAUGAUCAAUUAUGAGUCCGGAGUCCGAUGCAGCUUAUUUAUAUCUUGCGUGCAUACUUUCUUAAAAAUGCUUUUACUACAGUUUGUUAUAAUAAAAAUGCUUUUACUAUAGUUUGUUAUAAAACACCGACCAAUUACUGUUCUUGCCCAUCCAUUUACAAUGUAUUUGGUAUAAUGCAUGCAUAAACUUGAGUGUUCUUCUUAUAUUUUGUAUUCUUUUGGCAUUUUGUAUUUUAGAUCAUGUUGAACAAGGGCUUCACUUGUUAUGAUCAAUGACGGUAUCUGGUGGAUUAUCUUUUUCCUCGGGAGCAGGCUUGACUCAUGACAACUGCCUCUCGUGUCCGGAAGGUAGGUAUGGUCAUAAAGAGUGGCGACUUCUUUUGAAUACCUCAUGUUGAAUUGCAAGGAUUUCUCAUAUAAAUGAUUUUAAUUGGUUUCAACGGGCUGAGUUGCCUAAGAGAGUCACUUUUGAUGGCCACUUUCAUUAAAUUGCUUGUUUGUCCAAAAAUCACCUUACAGGAAGUCAAGAUCCAAUGGUUAAAUCAAUGGAUCUGUUGUUUAGUUACCUUAAUGAAAGUUACCCUAGAGGAAGUUGUCAAUUCGGCCAGUUUCAUUUGAUUGUUUGUCUGAAAGGCACUAUAGAGGAAGUCAAGAUCCAAUGGUUACAUUAGUGGAUCUAAUACUGUAUCAGUUGUUUUAUGGUUUUGAUUCAGCAUUAAGUGACUUCGGAUCAAUUGAGGGGAAAGUAUAGAGUAGGGCAGUUUCACUAGUUUGGCCCAUUUUCACUAGACCAAACACCAGGAACUUUUGAGUUGUGCCAAAACUCAAGUUCACCCCAUUCACUUACAUUAAAUCAAAUACACCCCUUAAUGUUGUUUAUUCUCUCUCAAUAACUCGUGGCAAUUGUACCGUCGAUUUACAUAUUCUGGAGGCAUCUUAAACGACAUUACUUGCUUUUUCUUCAAAAUCUUCUGAUAAAUACUAGCAAAUUAAGGUGGAAACACAAAGGGACAUGAUCCUGCAAGGAUGAACAAACUCCACAAUCCUGUCCUUUCUGCUCUUUGCCAAAUGGAUCUGGGCAAACACUGACUCUUAUUCUUUUUUUAUCUUCGUGUUUUCUUGUCUAGUAUUGUAUUCCUAAAUAUCCAUCGAAUCUCCUCUAUCUGAAGCUUGUUUUAAUAGUUGCGGUUUUCACUAAACUGUUAUUAAGGAUGACAAACAGCAUCAUUUAACUUUUUGGCAUAUCUAUAUGCAGUGAAAAUAGAUUAUGUUGCAAAAAGGAACUCCUAAAAGGACUCGGCUGGGAAAUCACAUCAUCCAGAUCUUGGAUAUACAUUUGUAAUAUCGGUGUUCGUCACUUUAAUCCUAUCAGGUAAGUUUCAAGUUGGUUAUUUUGCUGUGAAAUGUUUCAUGCAAUCUAAAAUGUGACAUUGAGCGCUCUUUAUGGAAACUAUUCUGCGCAUUGUCUUAUUACAGUUACGCAGGUCUCAUAAUGGAAAAUAUAGCUUUGAUGAUCUUUUGUAAGAGAAGCGGAUAGGUCGGAUAGUUGUGGUGGCAUCGAAUUAGAAGUAUGGAUAAGAUGCUGAAUUAUAGAGAAUGAAGCUCACAAUACAAGUGAGAACACAGAGCGCCCGAACUCUAUUCCUCGGUGAAUUCGGAUUCCCGGACCGUCCAUCUUCGUUCCUUUGAGAAGUUUCAAUGAGAAGUGGAGGCGAGCUGAUUCGAGAGAGAUUUUGGGCCGAAAAGAAAAGCUGCUUUUCUCUGUUUAUGUAGUGUUGUGUCACUUGUGAUUUGGAAAAAACAGCUUCAUUAAGAAUGAACCGAAACAUUGUUGUCUUUGCUUGGAUGCUGGUCGGCCAGAUAUAUUUGCUUGGGAUGUGUAUAUAAAAUGUAGGUAUACCAAUAGUGACUAGCAGAGUUACAGUAUCUGUUAGUCUUAUUAAAAUGUUAAGAAAGAAGAAUCUAUAUUAGUGUCACAAAUCCUUUAUAUUUUUUCUGCCAUGUUACGUGAUUUUGAUUAUUGUCAAAUAAAAUUCAUUAAUUUAUUAAAAUUUACGUUAAAACUAUAUAUAUAAUAUAUUUUGUACAGAGUGCAUCUCGCGCACGCCUUUAUACUAGUGUAUAUAUAUACAAAAAAGGAGAGAGGAAUUGUUACUAAUACAUUUAACCUAUGGAGGAGCAUUUAGUUUAAACAUUUGUAUGGUUAUAUAUAUGCAUUAUUUUAUAAUAAAUUAAAAUAUAUUGUAAUAUACAAUAAUAAUAAUUUUAUAAUAGUAAUAAUAUAAUGAUGAUUACCAUAGUAUAUAGCAACUAUUAGUGCUAUUAUAUUAUUAGUUAAGAAUCUGCGCUUCAUAACGGAUCAUAGUAAAGAAAUUAUUACAUAAAUAAAAAUAUUUUAUAUAUUAGAGAUUUUUAAAGUUGUAAGUCUUUAACAAAACAGCUCAUUAUUUUGAAACCAAAUCCAAAAAACAUGCAUGAUUAGCACAUGUAUUAAUUGUCCAUAAAGUCAAUCACAUCACCUCAAAGUUUGAAAUCCAAAAAAAAAAAACAUGAUUAAUAUGUAGAGUUGGUCUUCUAUGAAUCUGCAAAGUCAAGAGUUAAAAAGGAAGGAAAUUAGAGUUUAUGGUAAAGAGUAUCAUUGGAGUGAAGUAGUUGUAGGAAAAUCACCCAAGUCGUUUUCUGCUCCGUUCCUCCACACUUGUAGAUAGUUCUAUCUUAUUAGGUACAGUUUGUUGGGUAUAAGUAAGACUACUAUUACAGGGAUAGGUACAAGUAUGUGGAUAAAAAAUAGUGUUUUGAUGAAAAUUGGGUUGUUUCCGAGGAUAAGAACAAUUUUAGGUAGUUUUAUAUAUGAAAUUGGAGGUGUUGGUGGGAAUAACCGAGAACUACUAUUCUCGGGUAAAAAAUUAGCGUUUGGAUAUAAAGGGGGAUUAAGGGCCUAUUCCUAUCCCUAUCUCUGAACCAAACGCUGUCUUUAGAAAACCUGGUAAAAACUAUUCCAGCACAUUAGCAACCUAAGUAUAGCAUUCUUUUGUGCAAAGCAUGUAGAGGGGAGAAGUAACCACACCUGGAAUGAGUUAUCUUAGGUUAGAGAUGCUUCUCCAAAUAUGUCAUUCUUAGUACAAAAACAUGAGUCCCCAUCAUCUUAUUCUACCUAAUAAAAAGUCCAUGUUUACCUAUUGAUGCUUAAUGUCAUCAUGUAUACCAUAAAAAUGUUUAUAACCUACUUUACAAAUAGGUGUAAUUGUACAGCAGAGCCCCUCAUCUUAUCCUUUUUAUUAACAUUCUCUUAGUUUCCCAUUUUUGUAAAUCGAAGCCACUAAACUACGAACUUCCUAGAAAUUUAAAAAAAAUAAUGCGAUGGAAAACACUUUUUGACAACUAUGAUAUCAAAGAGCCAAUUUGCAAUGAAUAUUCUGGGAAUAUUCAUAUCAUCUCCGGUAUCAUCUCCGGUCGCGAUCGAAGUUGUAACAAUCAAAACAGAGAAAAGCUUUUUGAGUUAUGGAGAUUACUUGCUUACUCUGCAAUAUGCUCUAAUUUGUUUCAAAUAACGCAAAUCUUGUGAUGUUUUCCUACAUAGAGCUGAGAACAUGCAGCAAAUAGCAUAAUUCAGGAUUUUCAAACAUUCCAUGCCCAAAUGGAACUGCUAAGAACCUAGAAAUUAAAUUAAGUAAUCCAUUACUUAACUGAUCAUAUAACCUAAAGUCAACAACCACAGAAAAGGAAAGCAAGGUAGCAAAUUACAAAUUUUCACCAUCUCGUAGUCAAAUCAACUUCUAAUAACCCAAAAAAUUGAAAUUCAGCUGUACCCAUCACUUAAUUACAAUAGAAAUCAAAAUUAAAAAUAAGCCCUAAAAAGCACACUCAGGUAGCAAAAUAUAGAAUUUUCACGCAAAAUAACAACCCGCGAAAAUGAAAAAUUUAGUUAAAUCCGUCACUAAAUUUGAUCAAAGAAUACAUAUAAAUCAAAGCAAAGAAUACAGAAGAUGAUAAUAAUAUGAUCAGUCAAACAUCUCUAAAACAUCCGUAAUCUUCAAACAAAUCCGUUAAUAAAUGAUUAUUCUCAAACGCACAGAGCAUACUUCAUAUCAGCAUUUAGACUUAUCUGUCAAUUUGAUCAAUGAGAUAACUCAGCAAUAAAUGAUAAACGAAAUAAGAUUUUCAUUAAAAACCUUCGUUGCAUCAAUCUAGUUCAUAUCUCACUAUUUCCAACAUCUUGUUGGUCGCAAACACCAAAAUAAUAUGUUUUUAUGAUAUGUAGACCAAUUAGUACAGUGAUUGACAGUAAAUGCCUAGGAAAAAAUGGUGUGGAAAAAUCAAUGGCAUUAAAGUAAGCAUAAAGCAGCAAGUUAUAAGACAUAUCCAAACCAAACAUUCCAUAAAAGUGGUCUCGACUUCUUUCUACCCAACAUCUCACAAUGUUGCAAAUAGCUCAUGCCGAAAGAAUCAAAUAAAGAAAAAAUAGCAAGUAAUGAAUUUAAUUUACAAUAAUUAUCUAAAAAUAAUCUCUAAUAUUAUUUUUUAUUAUCCUAACUCAAAUACCAAAUAAAUUAAUAUUAUUUUUAUUAUCCUAAACUCAAAUACCAAAUAAAUUAAUAUAGUACGUACAUACCACCAAAAUAUACCUUUGGCAGACGAAGGCUCAUAAUUGUAGGAUCCAGUCUUACUAAAACUAAAAUAAAUAUUGGUAUGUUGAGAAUGUUAUUUGAGGAAUUAGUGCUGGUUGUAGCGAAAUUAAAAUCUAUGUCUGCUUUUCAAGACAGCAUAUGAUAUGUAAAUAUCACACCUUUAUAUAUUAUUUUUAUAAAUAUAUAAGUAUGUAAUAAUAUUAUUUAUUUUACAGUAAACAAUUGAGUCGACAACUUUAUCGCAUAUAAUUUUUGACAGAAAAGUGACCAUAUGGAGUAUCUUGCUGUAUCAAUUUCGUUAUUACUGCAGAAUAGUAGUUUCACGGUAAAAUUAAAUAAUAUUAUUUUUAGUAUUAUGUGGAAUUUGGAUGGUUAUGAAGGUUUAUUGGCUAAGAUGAAGGGGGCAUACAAUAAUAAUUCAAUUGUUGACUUUCUGAGAUUUAUUUUGGCCACAUAUAAUCACUUUGAGUAGAACCGUUAUGAUUAUAUUAAGAUGCUAAGACUUAACUUUUUCUUAUUAUUCAUCAAUAUACUUUAUUAUUUUUAAUAUCUAAUGAUAUGCAUUUCGAAAAAAAAUAGAAUAUCAAUUAGCUAAUCUAUAUGAGUAUAUAUAGUAAGAUAUCCUGAAUUAUAUUAUUAAAUAAAUUAAAUAAAAAAAUAUAUGAGAUGGAACUCUAAAUUUACAUUACAUUAUUUUUUUUUCUUAAGUUGGAUAUUAUAUUAUUGAAAUAAUGUUUGAUAGUGCUUUUACAAUGUGAGUAUUGCGUUUGCCUAUUAUAUUAAUAAAAUAUUUCACUAACAUAUUUUACUUAUAAUUAUAUAUAUGAAAAUAUUGUACAUAACAUAAUUUAUUAUUAUAUUUAUUUAUUUUAAUUUAUGCAAAAUUAGCACACUUUUAUUACUUUAUAUUUUAUUAAUUGUAGCUUUGAAAAAAAAUUACAGUGUGCCAAUAACAAAUGUAUCAUGCUGCGAUCUACAAGUGAACAAUCAGUGAACAUAAGAGAUAGUGUGUACUGUUAUUUAUGAGAUAGGUUGUUUUGAAAAAGGUUAGUGUUUGCAGAUUUUGUUUUGAAGUUUGAAUUCUUGUCUUUUUGUUUGUUCGUCAUUCUUCAAUGUAACUGCUACUGCAAGAGGUCUAUGCAAGCGUGGCCACUGAAAUUGAAGAGAGUAUCCAAUGCAUGCAGAAAAUAUUAUUGAAAGAUGCCAGUGAGAAAUGUCGCACUAAAUUUUUUGUGAGUCAUCUCUCUAUGUCAGAAAAUUUUUAACUUAUUAUUCUUCUGGCUUCUUGGACUGAAUCUGUUUAUUUAUCACUUUUAAAGCUCAAGAAACUGAGACUGCAUCGACCGUCAGUAAGUCGAUAGAAAAUUUGCAUUCUGUUGAAAUUGUGGCGCGUGGACAUGACACCCGUACUGUAAUUAUAUUUCUUCCAUUGAAUAUUACUCUCGUUUAUUUUUUGCAAAGCAACUUUGUUUUCUAUGGACAACUAAUUAUGUUGAUAGAGUCUAGCGAAAGGCGCAAUGAACAAAUUAAGAAAUAUUGUUUAACAUCUUAUUUAAUAUUUCUAUCGUUUCUGGAACUCUCGUUCGUUUGUUUGUAGUGGCGCAAUGAAGUAUCAUGACUUUUGCGUAGUUACCUCGAGCUAAGAUGUUGGUAAGCAAAGAAACUGGGUAUCCUACCAAAGGUAAUGGAUUUUUAAAAUAAUGCAUGUGAAUAUAUGCAUAUGCCAUGCGAGAUAUAUGAUAUGCAUGCGUAUGUGGCGGAUGCUCUUGAUUAUCGUAUGUUUAAGACCUCGAACUAAAUGUGCUCUUUUAUUGGCAGGAGCUCAGGGCCUGUUUAAGAGCUACCGGCGGAGCGGAGAUUGAAAGCAGCAGAAGGCUUGCUUUUCUCGUUUUUGUUUUUUUGGUUAGUUUCUGCUUGUGGAAAUAUGGUAAUACAUUAAAAGACAAAUAGUAAAUACAUAAAAGAACUAAAAAAUUUUGAGUACAAACAAAUAAAAGUAUAGCAGUUAAUUCAACAACAUGCAGGAGUUCCAUUAGAUAACAAUAAAAUUGAGUUGUAGAAGCUGAGGAAAGAGUGCAAGAGUGGCUGAAAGAAAAAAUAAUAGUCAGUAAAAAAUUAAAAGAAAGAAUGAAAUAGAGACUUAUAGAAAAAGUUGAUUAAGAAAUAAUUACUAACCUGCCUGUCCUCAAAAAAUAAUGCGAUUGCAUGUACAAAAAAUCAAGUGAAGCAGCAGCACUUGCAAAAAUAAUUAGAAUAUAUAAGUGUCAGAACUUAAUAGUCAAAUAAUUUAACAGGAAUAGUAAGAAAACACCAUCACAACAAUAAAUAAAAAUAAUAUACAGAACCACACUGGUUGCAAAUAUUUCGCAAUUUUCAUCCUAGUUAAUUUACUUUGUAAAAUAUGAGUUUAGCGAUAGAUAAGUUUAAAGGGUGACAGGUUAGGCGCGGACACAAAUCCAUAACAAACCUCAUAAUUUAGGUUAAACUGACAGUAUUUCGUACAAAAGUCCAAAUAUAAGAAAUACUUGACAUGUCGACAAAAAGGAAAUAGAAUUUAAUUCAGAAAGUAUACCUGCCUAAAUGUCAGGAAAUACCUCCACGUGCACUAAAGAAAACCUGAUUUGUCCAAAAUUGAACAGGAGAACUGGAGGGAUAGAUCUGACUGUUAACAUUGAGUUUAUGUUUCUAGUGUCCAUAGACAGGCAUUAAGACUCUGAGCUAGCUGGCAUCAUGUCCGUGUGAAUCCAUCUCAAUACCAUUGCAUUUAAUACAAAUUCCAUUAUAGCAUAAUGUGCCUUGUUCUUUGGAUUGAGAUAGCAACUCCUCGAGGAUUAUUCAUAAACAGUACACUUGAAGGAAUUCAAUUAACAGUUUAUUGGCAAAAGGUGACGACUGAUAACGAGUUUUGCUAACAUUUGCAAGAGAGGAUGGGUUGAAGUGCAACUUGGUGAGACUCAUGUGAUGCGGCUAUGUGACUGCUCAUGUGGUGCAACCAUAUCGAGACAGGCCUAAUGAAGGGACACUUGCUAUCUUUACUGAGUUCUCUCCCAUGGCUGAUCCCUCUUAUUGAGAAGGCGUCCGAAAGUAUUCGUAUACAAAAGAAGGAAAAGAAUGAAUUAGAACUAAUAGUAAAACUCCAAUAUCUUUUCCAAUCCACAUAUAACAGUAGAUGAAAAUAGUAGCAAAAGAUCAAGUGAAGCAGCAAUUCGAAAAAUUGAUUAUAAAAAAAAAAACAUCAUCAGCAACAAUCGAAAAGAUAUAAACGUGAAAUAAAAUGAAGAAGGCAGCCAUAAGGUUAAGUAGAAAGCUAGAGAAAUAUCAGCAAAGACUUGUAGUAGAAAAGCGAUACAGAAAAAAAAAAGAAAAAUGCAAACGCUAAACUAAUGUAAAAUACACAUCAUAAGGAGUAUAAGCAGUAGUAGUAGAAAUUUGAGCAAAUCGACAAGAUCAACAUGUAGUUAAAUUUUUCCUAUUUUUAACUAUAGGCUCAGAUAUUAAAUGAGGCAUUAUCAAUAGUCGCACAAAUAGAUUUUUCUCAUUUCAGAAGUCUUCGAAGAAAAAAGGUGCCGCAUAUAGUUAUAUGUUCUCAAUAGUUUAUGUAUUUCUUGCCUGGGGUAAUCACUGUUGCAUUUUAUUUAGUAACUGCAUCCUAGUUGAACCGCAAAGCCAGCAGAGAAAUAGAGUUUUUUUUGCCGCAAGAUAAAUUUUUACAGAGCAUAUUAUAUAGCAGUAAAAAGGGACGGCGGAGAAUGAAUUCCGAACCAUUUUUCGUGACCGGAGGGAAAUGAAUAAGCGUAACGGAAGCGUCGCUAAUGGGAAACGGCGCGACCGAAAAGGAGCUGACCAAUGAACUAGGCCCAACAUCUCCGUCCAGAGAGGAAGCAAGGAGUCGGAGCGGCAUCUAGGGGGCGAACAAAACGAGUGUCGCUAACGGAACGGUGCGACGGGAAGAAGGCCCGACCAUGAAGCUCAGCCGCAUCAUUCGGUCAGAGGGCACAGGAGUCAGAGAGGGCAAUCCUAAAGGGGCGAAGCGAAGGACGCCGAGAUGUGGAAGAUGAAGUUAAUUAGAAAGCAAAGAAAAUUAAGUUGGAAGCAGAGUAGGUAGGUAAAAGGAAUUUGGUUGGGUGGGCGCCCACCCACUUAUUAAUUUAAUAGAAGUAUUAAGAUGCAAGGUAGGGCUAAAAAGAUUAAAAUUAAGCUAAUGUUGGCACGUGGGACAAAGAGAACGGAAUUUCAUAAGGGUUAGAAGACUUAUUAGGCAAGCAGCAUAUAUAUGUUUUGCUUACAUCAACUUGUAAGUGAAAUCCUUGUUGCAACGGCUUGCAUAACUGCCACCCAAGUUGCCUUACAUAUAUAUACUCUUUUCAUAUUAAUCAUAAAAAGAUUAUUCAAUUUUGUCAUCAAAUCGCCAAAUACAACAAAUAAAUAAACUUAAUAUUACGGUUCCUAGAACUUAUUAGAAGUAUGCUGAAAUAAAUCACAGAUAGUAAACAUAAUAGAGAAGCAACAACAAAAUAAAAAGGAACUGCGCUCAAGAUGUGAUAAGAGGAAUGUUCAAGUAAAAUAUACACUUAUACUAUAUAAAUAUAUAUAGAUAACAUCUUUGUUAUCAGAACUACAACAUUAAUUAAAUAUAUAUACUGUAGAAAAUCGGAGUAAAAGAUAAGAAAAUCAAAAAUUUUGAAAACCAUGAAAAUACAACAUAUCAGAUAAGGAGUUAUUUUUUGUAAAAAAUAUUUUAAGAAAAACAUGCAAACUAUGGCAUUUUCAUAAAAAUAAAUUUCGUAUGAAAAGCAGUAGGGCAAUAUCUGCAAAGGAAAAAGGAUAUAAUUAUAAAGUUUAGGCCACUGUUCUAUUGGUCAACUUUAUUGAACUGCUUUAAAAAGAAGAAUUUGUUUACUCUCAGUCUCCGCUUUAUUAUGAUCGUAAAAAUUGUUAUCAAACAUAUGUAGCAUUAACAGAAAUUUGAUCUAUUGUUAAAGUUUCGAAACAACAUAAGUGAAUUCACACAAAUAUAAAAUACUAUGAAGCAUCCCAUGUAGAAAAUUCGCAUCAAGGAAUUCAUCUUGAAUUUGUAGUUGUUAAAGUCGAAAAACAGAGUGUAUUGGCAAAUGCUUGUCAGCUUCUGAUUCAUGAGGUUAGACAUAAGUGUUUACAUGUGGUAGAAUACACCAUGCAUGCAUUUAUGGAUCUGGCUACUCAGGUUCUGCUUCAAGAGGUUAGACAUGAGUAGUAAAACAUGAUAGAAGACGACACGCAUGAAUUUAUUCUACAACAUAAGCACAUAAAUUUAGUUUAUUUCCUAACAUUUUUUUAAGAUUAGAUAUAAACAAACGAAAAAUAUAGACAAAAGAAUAAUAGGGAUGAACUAAUAUGUAUAAAAACUUUCUGCUUUAACUUCAUUAAAAAAUAUAUAUAUGCAAAACUAAAAUUAAUUCGAUUGAUAUUUGAGGCUUGUGUAUAUGCAUGAUUUUAUUUUUUUCGAUCGAAGAGAAAUUCGCAGAGCUCUCUCUCUGAAUUUUAGAAUUUAUCCCAAAGAAAGGAACAUGCUUGUUUUGGCAAUUGCUUGUCAGAUUAUGCUUUGAGAGGUUGGACAUAAGUGUACACAUAAUAGAACACAACAUGCAUGCAUUUAAGGGUACAUUUGACUGCUCAGGUUUUGUUUCGAGAGGUUAUACAUGAGUAUUAACACAUGAUGGAAGACGACAAAUAUGAAUUUACUGUACAGCAUAAGCAUACAAAUCUAGUUAUUUCCUAGCAGUUUUAUGAAGAUUAUAUAUAAACUGUUGGCAUUCGGUUAAAUCGAAUCGGGUACGCCCAUAAGCGGGUUCGAUCCGACGGAUAUUAUGUUAUCUAAUUGGAUUAGGAUUAAUCUCGCUUUCAAAUUGAAAAGCUAAUUAGAGAUAAAUCUAAUCAUAUUAGGAUAACAAAUAAUAACCGAUUUGGCCUUAUCUUUAACGCUAUUAGGAUUUUGGAAUUUCUUAUAAAUAGACGGGCGAUCCCACAUAAAACGAACGAACGGAAAAAGAGAGAGAAUAAGAAAAUAAUAGAGAGAAACCACAUCCUCCAUUGACCUAUUAUUCUAAGAGGAACUUGAACGGUGGAUUUGUGAUCGUGCUCGUUUGUAGUUCGAUCCAUCGCGAGUUCGGAACGUGAGAAGAUCUAAACAAGGACGAUCAAAGGACACGUGAAUCAACCUCGACGAUCCGGGCGUUAUAACGUGAAUCGCUUCCGCAAAAGGUACGAACGAAUACUUCCGCUGCGUUCUACAUAAACAAAAGGACAAUAAAGACAGAAGGAAUAAUGGGAAUGAACUUGUAUGCAUACAUGGUCAAGAUAAUUUAAAAAAAAAAAAGAAAAAAAGAAUAAAGGGAGACUCUCAAUUUAAAAUAGAAAAUGUACAUGAUAGACAAUAAGCACAACUUGAAUAAAGAGCAAUGGGUUACAUGUGUAUAAAUAGAAAAAUACAAAGCAAUGGGUAUUAGUUGUAAAUGAUUGUAUACACUUCAUUACAAAAUCAUAGUUAUGUUUUACUGAAAACUCAAGCACAAAGACAAUAAUAAUAGGCAAAAGAACUCAAGCACAUUAACAUAAUCACAAAAGAGCAGAGAUUUCAAGGCUUAUGUUUCACUCCAUAAACUUCAAAGUGCGAAGGAGAAAAAACUCGAUAAGUAUCAAAUAUAAAGUCUGCAUGGCACAAUUUUUAGUAACUGCAUAGGAUGUCUUAUAGAAUAUUUCUCUCAAAACACAAAUUUUAGUAAAUGAAACAUCUGGUAGCAAUUUAUUCAAGGGUCUAGUAUUAUAUUCCGUUCAGUUUUUUUCUCUGGCCGGUAGAAGUACUAUUAAGGGUUAUAUUACUUGUAUGUUGCUUAGGCAGAGGCAUCAGUAGGUUAGUUGAUAGUCCAAGGAACAUAAAGUAUUAAUUUUAUUUAUGUUUAAAAUCCAAAAAUUAUACACUUGUUGGAAUCUAAGGAUCCAAAUUGACAAAAUUCAAUUGAAACAUCUAAGAUAAAUGAAAUUAAACCAAAAGUUGUAGAACUAUUAUGGAUAAGUAUCACUCUUCAAUUCAGAUGGCCCUCUAACUUAGUUUGCUCUUAGAUUGAAUAUGAAAAUGCUGACAUAGAUGGGUAGGGAGAGAAAAAGCACAUUGCCAGCAAACUAUAUCUUUUUUGGAUAUGAGAAGAACCAUGCAGACAAACUACAGUGCGAAAACCAGAAGCCUCAAGCAAUUACAACUUGAACAUAAUUCAACUCUGACAUCAACAGAUUGGCACUAUCCAAUAAAAUUACAUUGCAAUCAAAAAGUUCCUACUAAAAAAAAAAAACAACAACAAAUCUUCGCAAGUAUCAAACUCUGAUAUUCUAAAAGAAACUAAAUACAUAUAUACAAUUUAUUUUGCAAACAAAUCAUAUAUGAAAGCAUUAUGAUUAACAGCAUAACAAAUCAUAUAUGAAAACAUUAUGAUUAGCAGCAUUAAGAUGUAAAAAAAAUAGAAGUGUUGUGACCUCUUCAACUAUAUGCCAUUUUUAUAAUUGUGAGGAGCAUCAAAAAAGGGAUUUUGUUCAAAUUUUUUACAUUCUACAACCGAAUAGCAAAAGAGGAACAUCAAAAGAGGGAGCUUUUUCCUUUUCUCACCUCGGAACCGCUCGGCCUCUUGAUUGUAAUCGAGAAGCUUCUGCUCGAUUCGCUUCCCGGAGGUGAAAUCGAACCCCGCGGAGGUGAAAUCGAAGGCCGCGGAGGGCUCGCUACCAAAUCAGAGAUGGAAAAAAUCAGAAAGAGAGAAAUAGGUUUUUUUUUUUUUUGCAAAUAAAAUUUUUACAGAGGUAUAUUAUAUAGGCAGCAAGAAGGGACCACGGAGGAUGAAUCCGAGCCAUUUUCGUGACCGGAGGGAAUGAAUAAGCCGAAACAAAGCGCCGCUAAUAGGAACGGCGCGACCGGAAGAAGGGACGACCAUGAACUCGGCCCAACAUUCCAUCUAGAAAGGGAAUAGGAGUCUGAGCGGCAUCUAGGGGGUGAACGAAAUGAAGUGUCGCCAAAGAAAACGGGGCGAUGGCAAGAAGUCCGGCCAUGAACUCAGCCCAACAGUCCGUCCAGAGAGGGAACAGGAGUCGGAGCGACACCUAGAGGAGCGAGCGAAGGAGCCGGAGGUGGAAGACGAUAUUAAUUAGAAGCAGGAAAGAUUAAAUAGGAAAAUUUAGUUGGGUGGGACCCACCCACUAAUUAAAUAACAGAGUGCCUUAUGAUGAUAGGUAGGGCCCACGGGAGAUUAGAUUAAGCUAAUGUUGCCACGUGGACAAAAGGAAAUAUGGAUUCAUAAGAGUUUAUAGAUUAUGUUGACUAUUGCGUUUAAAUCUAUUAUAUUAAAUGAAAUAUUGUACUAACAUAUUUUACUUAUAUUAGGUUGUUUUGAAGAAGGUUAGUGUUUGCAGAUUUUGUUUGAAGUUUGAAUUCUUUGUCUUUUUGGUUGUUCGUCAUUCUUCAAUGUAACUGCUACUGCAGAGGGCCUAUGCAAGCGUGGCUGCUGAAAUUGGAGAGAAGCAUCCAAUGCAUGCGGAAAACAUUAUGGAAGAUGCCAGUGGAAAAUGUCGCGCUAAAUUUUUUGUGAGUCCUCUCUCUAUGUCAGUAAAACUUUUAACUGGUUAUUUCUGGCUUCUUGGACUGAAUCUGUUUAUUUGUCACUUUUGAAAGCUCAAGAAACUUGUGGACCGCAUCGACGCGUCGGUAAGUCAACAGAUAGAUUUUGCAUUUGUUGAAAUUUGGCGUCGUGGGUGAUACACCGUGCUCUAAUUAUGUUUCUUCCCUUGAAUAUUGUUUCUGCUUAUUCUUGUAAGCAACUCUGUUUUCUAUUGAAAACUAAUUAUCUUGAUAGAUGCCCAGCAAAGAGGCACAUGAGCAAAUUAAGAAAGUUUGCGAUGAAGAGCUAAUUUUUUUAUUCCGAAUUUGUUUGACAUUUUAUUUAAUAUUUCUAUCGUUUCUGAACUCUCGUUCUUUGUUUGUAGCGGCCAAUGAGGUACAUGACUUUUGCUAGUUAUCUCGAGCUUAAGAUGCUGGUAGCAGAUAUCCUACCAAAGGUACGGAUUUCAAAUUAUAAAUGUGCAUAAAUGCAUAUAUUAUCGUAUGUACAAGACUCAGACUAUAUGUGCUCUUUAUUGCAGGAGCUUCAGGGCCUAUUACAGGAGCUAUACAGCGGAUCAGAGAACUGGUGGUGGCCACUUGGUGGCUGAUCUGGCGCAAUAGGAACAACGCUAUUUUUAGAUAUCUACACACUGACGUUUCGCUAACAAUCUAUUGUAUCGGAGUGUUGGUAAAAGAGUGGGCCGAACAUUGUAAAGCUGGGUAACGGCUGUGGCUUGAGCUAGACCUGGUCUUGAGUUUGUUUUUUUUUUUUUUUCCUUUUUUUCGUUUUUCCUUCUUUCCCUUGGUACUGUCGCUUUUCCGCCAUUCUGAGGCCUUAGUUGCCUCACCCUAUGUAGCUAAAUUUAUUUACUUAAUGAAUGACGCAGGUAGCGUGCUACCUCUUUCUCAAAAAAAAAAAAAAAAUUUAAAGGCGACCAAAAUAAAAAAUAUUAUAAAAAAAUAAUAGGCAUAAUUGCCUAUGUACCAUUCAAAAUUUUCGAAAUAUUCUAUAUACUCCUAAUUUUUUUGGUUACAAAUAUAUUCUCGUGCAUUCUCCAUUAUUAAAAAAUAUCUCCCCUGUUAGUAAUUAUUAAGCUAUCUCAAAUUAAACCUGAAUUAUAUUUCUACUAGAGUUAAAAAAAAAAAUCAAAAUAUCUCUUUUAUUCUUAGCUUAAGACAAAUAAGAAAAUUUGAUGAUAGUAGAAUAAUAUAUUUGAUAAGGCAAAAAGUCAAAAUACUUUCUUUAUCCCUAACUUAAGGGAAAAUAAGAAAAAUUAGUGACCGUAAUAGUAUAUAUUGAAAAGCAUUAAGAUGUAAAAAAAAUAGAAGUGUUGUGACCUCUUCAACUAUAUGCCAUUUUUAUAAUUGUGAGGAGCAUCAAAAAAGGGAUUUUGUUCAAAUUUUUUACAUUCUACAACCGAAUAGCAAAAGAGGAACAUCAAAAGAGGGAGCUUUUUUCUUUUCUCACCUCGGAACCGCUCGGCCUCUUGAUUGUAAUCGAGAAGCUUCUGCUCGAUUCGCUUCCCAGAGGUGAAAUCGAACCCCGCGGAGGUGAAAUCGAAGGCCGCGGAGGGCUCGCUACCAAAUCAGAGAUAGAAAAAAUCAGAAAGAGAGAAAUAGGUUUUUUUUUUUUUUGCAAAUAAAAUUUUUACAGAGGUAUAUUAUAUAGGCAGCAAGAAGGGACCACGGAGGAUGAAUCCGANAUAUUUGAUAAGGCAAAAAGUCAAAAUACUUUCUUUAUCCCUAACUUAAGGGAAAAUAAGAAAAAUUAGUGACCGUAAUAGUAUAUAUUGAAAAGGACAAAAUAGUAAUUUUUAAGAAAUAACAGCAGUUCCUACCAGUUCACUAACCGUAUUAAAAAAAGUAUUUUUAAUAUUAACCUUUUAAGAGCAAAUAAGAAAAGUUAUGGGCAGAUAAGAAAAGUUGGUGACGAUUGAAAGAUACAUUUGAAAGGGUACAAUAGUAAUUUUUUAGAAAUAACAUUUGUUCUCACUGUUCACUAACAGAAUAUAACUUGAGUAGAUGUAUAUUUGAAAUAAUUUGGAAUAUUAAAAAUAUAUAUCUAAUAUUAUGGUGUGUUUGAUUCAAAGUCGGAAUCGGUAUCGGAGUCGGAAUGAGAAUAAGCUGGAAACGGAAUCGGAAUGAUUCAUCACCUCAUUUUGUUUGGUUCACCAUCUGAAUUGAAAUCAGAAUGAAUCAUUUCCAUUGUUAGUGUUUGGUGAAAAUUAAAUAUUAAAAAUUUACGUCAAAAUUUUAAAAUAGUGUCAAAAUUUUAAGUAUAUUUUUUAAAAAAAUUUAAAAUUUGAAAUUGAAUGAAUAAUUCAAAAUAUAAAACUAAAUUUCGAUUUAUUCAAAUUCAAACUUAAAAUUAUAAUUUAAAUGAAUACAUAAAUUUAAUUUAAAUUUUAAAUAAAAUUUGAAUAAAAUUUUAGAUUUUAAAUUAAAUUUAAAUUAGAUUCAAAAUGCUUGAUUGAAUUUUAAUUUUUAAUUAAAAUUAAAAUUAAAAUUAAAAUUUAUAAAUAUAAUUUUUAAAGUUAAACUUAUGUUUUAAUUUAAAAAUAAGUUUAAAAAAAUUAAAUUUAAUCCGAACAAAUCAAUUCCGUUCAGAUUUAAUUUCCAAUUCGGCCUCUUAGGCCGAAUUGAGAAAAUGGGUACUUGGGGGGAUUCCCAUUCAUCCGAUAAUCGAAAUCGAAAUGGGAGUCCUGCAUAUCAAAUACUGGCAAAAGGAUUUGCUAAUUUCGAUUUCGAUUCAAAAAAGGGCGAACCAAACACGCUUAACCUUUUAAGAGCGGUAAAUAAAAAAGUUAGGAGUUUUUGAGGGGGUGUAUAACUUCAAAGAUCCCCCCUGUGGUUUCCAACUUUCUCACUUUAGUAUCCUGUGGUUUAAAGUGUAUCAAUUUGCCCUCCUGUGGUUUCGUUUUUCUCUUUUUUUUAUCAAUUUUAUUGUUUUUUUUUUUCAAAUCAAUAACAAAAUUAAAAUUAAAGGGUACUAAAGUAAAUAUUCAGUAAAUCUAGAUGGAUAUGUGAUAUUUUUUUGUAUAUAAUUUAACGAAAUAUUAAGGAAAAAGCUAUAGAAAAAAUAAAAACAAAACCACAUGGGGGCAAAUUGAUACUCUUUAAACCACAGGUACUAAAGUGAGAAUGUUGGAAACCACAGGGGCUUUUUAAAGUUUUCCCAAAAAUACUACAACAUUAAAAUUGUAGAAAUUAAAUUACCGAAAUGCCCUUUUCGAGUGCAAAUUGCAAAACUGCAAAUUGAUAUUCCCCGAAGGCCAAAGCAACUCACCGGAAGUUGGACUCCGCGCCGGUACCUCUCUCGGCUUCAGCCGAGCACUACUCCGCGUUUCCGACACCGAGCAGAGAGGGAGGAAGCGGGAGAGAGAGAGAAAGGGUGUCGGGAUUAGGGUUAGGGUUAGGGUUAGGGUUAAGGGUAGGGGAUGGUGGUGGUGGUGGAUCUGGGGGAGUUCGCGGAGGAGGGGUUCGACCCGAAGCGAUGGAUCAACGCGGCGCUGGAGGGCCGGCACCCGCAGGACCCGCUGGACCGCUUCAUGGCCGACGCGGAGGAGAGCCUCCGCUCCGCCGCCGACGGCAUCGCCGACGCCCUCGAGCGCGAGAGCGCCGACGCCCUCCGCCGCGUCCCCCUCGCCUGCCGCGACGUCCUCCGCCUCCGCGACGACGCCGUCGCCCUCCGCUCCGCUGUCGCAUCCAUCCUCAGCUCCCUCAGAGAGGUUCGUCUCGAUCUCCGCCACCAAAUGCAGAUUCUAAGACUUUACAGUCGGAAAUGAUUGGAUCCAGUGUUCUAAUUAUUACAGUUUGAUUGGGUUAGUGGAGUUCAAUUUGUGUUUGAAGAGGCUAAUUCUAAGAUUCAAAAAUGAUGGAUCCGGUGUGCUCAUUUUUCAAUCAUUACCAAAUUCAAAUUCUAAGGUUUGUUGGAAAUGAUGGAUCCAGUGUUCCUAUUGUCGUGUUAUUAUUUUGCUUUUAUCGCACUCUUUUUUUUUCUCGUGAAUUGAUAGUUUGAUUGGGUUAGUUAAGUUCAAACAAAUUUGGGUUUGAAGAGGGUAAUUCUAAGAUUCAAAAAUGAUGGAUCCUGUGUGCUUAUUUGUUAGAGUUAUUUCUCCAUCGAGUUCUUGUUUUUCUUGUGAAUUGAUAGCUUCAUUUGGUAAGUUAAGUUCAAUGAUGGAUGCAGUGUUCUUAUUGUUAUGUUGUUUUUUCUUUUGUCUCUGCUGUAGAUUGAUUGCAAGAUUAGAAUACGUAAAUUCAGUGCUUUUAUUUUGAAUGCAAUUGUGUUUCUGUCUCUCAAUUACCCAAUGCAAUUGCCAAAUUUGCGAAUGGUAGAUUCAGCUGACUUCUCUGUUUCUGGCAACCAAUUCAAAUGAUAGAUAUGAGAAAUUUUAGAUUCACUAUGCUUAUUUUGUCAAAGUCUUCCUUUUUUGUGUCAAUUGGUCUCAAUUGCAGAUUUAGCUUAAGUAGGUUGAUUGGAGGAACAAUGUUCUCCUAUGAUGAAAUGGAUAGUGGUGGUUUGACUGGAAAUGCUAGAUUUGGAAAUGUUGGACUCUUUGAUGUCCUUUACCUUCCAGUGAAUUAGGUUUCUAUUCUAGAUCUUUAACGUAACUUGGUUUCUGAAACUCCGAUGAGUCGUGUUAGUUUAUGUGCUUCGAUGAGGAGGGAAGAAAAAGAUCGUGCCAUAUAACAAAUGGCUUUCCUUUUGUUCUGUUCUUAAUUUGCUUUCUUCCAGUCUUCCGUUUUGUCUUGGAUGAGUGAUGUUCAACUUCACAGCAGAUGGCAUUCAAGGAUGGUAGGGCUAGUUUUGAUAUUCUUAAUUACCCAAUGCAAAUGCUAGAUUUGGAAUGUUAGAAUCAGUGUGCUUGUUUUGUUAAAUUCUUGCUUGUCUUGUAAAUUGGUCUCGAUCGCUCGAUUGGGUUUCUUAAGUUCAAGUGGUAUGCAUUUGUUUUUAUGUGCUUUGAUUGGAAAAGCAAUGAUGACCUCUGAUGAAAAGGAUUUAUGUUCUUUCUCUUGUAUUUUCGCAUGCUUCUUUUUAGAUUUAAAUGCAUGAGGGCGAAUUUCGGCACAGAUUGCAGCUGAUGAUGGUAAGGGAGAUGCCAUGUUUUGAUCGCUAGCGAUUCUUGUUAAGAGGAUUUGAUAUUUGUUUUGUGGGCUUACUGUCGUUUUUCUGGUCUUUCAUACUUUUUCAUUAUGCCCUUUAAUCUUGGAUGGGUAGAGUUAAAUCUAAGUGUAGAUGGUCAGGUCGUGAUAGUGAGGACUACAUAUUGCAUAUCUGCGGCCGCUAGUGUAUUUUGUAGAUUUCAUGGUGCAUUACUGUAACUUAAAUGUCUGAAUGAUCUAGUUUCAGUUCUUUGUUUAUUAAUUGUUUCUCUCUGUAGUUUUUCCAGAAUGUCCUGUUAUUUAUUGUUGCUAGAUAGGCAAAUUUAAGUAGAGUUAACCAGGAAUCAAUGCUAAUGGUUCAGAAGCUUGCACUCCAACAGCUGGUCGGAAGCUUGAUAGUGACUAUGCAUCUGCUCCUGGCACCUGCUUUAACUCUGCUUGCUUUUGAAGGCGGUGUUUACUUACUCUUUUACUGAUAAUCAGUUUGAAAAGUUUGAAAAGUUUUCCAAUCAGUUCAUUUCUUGUGCAGCUUCAUUUACAUUUUUUUAGUGGAUGGUCUCAUAUGAGUGAAGGAAUCAUGGCUUAAAUAAUUGGCUUGUUUUUAAAUGAGAUCUACUAGGAGACUGUCAGUCCCACUGGUUGGUUUACUUGGGUACUUACAGCAUCACCUCAAUAAUUGUGGUAUAGUGAACCAGAAAGACAAUGCUAUCUGCCCGUGCUUUUGUAUCUUAUGAUUUUAUCUGAUUUAACUUGAAACUAGUAAUUUAUUUCAUAUAGGAGAAUGUUAGUUGUGUUUUAUACAUUUAUGAUUUCAGACUCUAUACUGUCUAUGUUUCUCUAGAAGGUAUCAUCUGUAUGAAAUUACUGGAGUAUGGUCCUUGAGGCUAAAGACUACAAACUAAUCGGUUUUGUUAGGCAUCAAUUUAAUGUUAGUCGAAUGAAGUUUAAUAUAAGCUUUGCAAAUUUAAACUGACAGGCAGAGGGCACAUCUGCUGAAUCUAUAGCUGCUCUGGCGAGAAUUGAUACUGUUAAACGGCGGAUGGAAGCAGCAUAUGCAACGUUGCAGGUUUGAUUCUUUCCAUUUAUUGUUUUUAUAUGAUUUAGAUGAGUGUGAAAAUGUAAUAUCCUUAUUUUCUAUCUCAAUAUUAAAAUAUCAGCAUUGCAUUUUUAUAAUUUUGUAUGGAAUGAACAGGAUGCUGCUGGUCUGACCCAGUUGAGUGCUAGUGUAGAGGAUGUUUUUGCAAGUGGGGAUCUUCCACGAGCAGCAGAAACCCUUGCAACCAUGAGACAUUGCUUGUCAGCUGUUGGUGAGGUACUCUCUUGUUCUUCCUCUGAUAAUCUAAUGAAAAAUGUUAAUUUUUGAGAUAUAUUUGUCAAGAAGAAGCUUAAUUUUUCAGGUUGCAGAGUUUGCUAAUGUGAGAAAGCAGCUUGAAGUGUUGGAAGAUAGGCUGGAUGAGAUGGUCCUCCCUCGUUUAGUUGAUGCACUUUCAAAUCGCAAGGUGGUUCUUGUUUCAUUUGUCCCCUCCUUUUUCUUGUAUGUUUGGACCGUUGAUGACAAUAAGAGAUAUUCUAUGAUACACAUUGUAUGCUAACUUACCUUGUUGAGCUUGCAAUUUAUUUUUUUGAAGGUUGAUGCUGUUCAAGAUUUACGUCGUAUACUUAUUCGUAUUGGGAGGUUCAAGUCAUUAGAGCUGCAAUAUACUAAGAUGCACAUCAAACCGUUAAAAAAACUCUGGGAAGACUUUGACUUGAGACAAAGAGCUAACAAGCUAGAGAUGGAGAAGCAUGGUGAAAAUGCAGCCUCCCUUUCUUUUUCUAGCUGGCUACCGAGCUUCUAUGAUGAGACUCUACUAUACCUUGAACAAGAAUGGAAAUGGUAUGCUGGUUAUGUUUGCUCUUCGUUUUCUUGCAAUAUUUGAAGUUGUAUGGUUACCAUUAGUAACUGGAACCUAUGCUUUGUCAAUAACUUUAAUCUAUUUUUGUUUUUGGAAAUCUGCAUACUGGUGAUUUAACUGGAACCUAUACUUUGUCAAAACAUGGCUAACUUUUAACUGCCAAGAAUGGUGCGGUUACUACCAUUGUUAUUCGUAUCAUAUUUGGGUACUGCAGUGCGAACUUUUCUUCAUCAUUGCAUAUGAGUAGCAGAUGCUUAGUAAGUAGCAUAUGGUCAAUGACUAGAUGCAUUAAUUCAAAUGGAUUAAUUGCAGAUUUUCAACCUCGGAUUGGGACUGGUUCUUGAAUGAAAUAUCAUUAAGCAUAGCUAGUCUGAAUCAUGUAAAUGAUGAGAUUUGAAUGCUUUUUGUAUUGCUAUCAUAAACUAGAGCCAGAGAUGUAUUUUAAUUUGCGCAUUCAAAUGACAAUUAGGGUGCGUUUGGUUCGCGCUAUCUUUUAAAGAUUCCUAGUAAUCCAAUGGGAAUAAAAAAAUAUGACGGUGUUUGGCUAAACGCACUAAGUAAUCUAGUUGGUAAUAUUGGAUUCACUUGGGAAUAAGAUUCACCCCAAAGGACUAAUCUCAUUCCCUUGAGGGAGGGUGGGUAUUCUCAUAUUAAUGGAUUGGGGUAAUCAUAAUAUGUCUAAUCUUUUUCUUUCUUCCUACCCGCCAGCUAAUUGAUAUUAUUUUUCUUUACACUCUAACCUUAUAUCUCUCUCUAAACUUAUUGUUCUCUCUAAAAUUCAACUUUUUUUUCUCUCUCUAAACUAAGCUUUCUCUCUCUCUCUCUUUCUAAAAUUUCAACUCUCUCACCCCCUCUAAUUUCGACUAUAUUUUUCUUUCUAUUUUUUUAAUUAUGCUCUCUCUCUAACUUAUACUCUCUCUCCCUUUUUUCUAAAAAAAUGUUGAAACUUUUGGUAACAUUAUCUAAAAUUAAUUAAAUAAAUAAAUUAAUUAACUGUAUAUUUUUUGCAAUAUUAAAUAACAUGGCUAAUUAACAUUACCGUGCGAACCAAACACAGGAAUUCCACAUUCUUAGUAAUAGGAUGAAUAGGAAUAAGAUUCUCGAAUAUCUUUUAUUCCUAGUAAUCUUUCAUAAUGCGAACCAAACGCACCCUUAAACAUUUCUACUAUGACAACAACUAACUGUUGAAUCACUAGAAUGUGGAAAGUGCUCUUUACCUUAAUUAAUUUUUUGUAAAUGUUUUACCUUUCUAUAUGGUAUACAUUUGCAUAGGCUAAUCGAAACAAUAGUUGUUCUAUUGGUUGAUAUUUUAGGCAUACUGUUGAUAAUUUUUUUUUAUAUACCAUGCAACUGUUUUUAAAGAGAGGAGACACUAUUAUAUGCUAUUAAUCAAGGUUUUAAGUGCCCGUCGGUAUGGGCCGUAUCCACCAUGCCGUACCGUGCCAACAAGAUACCAGCACAAUACAGACCUCGUGCCGAUGGCACAGCUCAAAAUCCUCUAUUCUUUAAAUUAGUAAGUAAUUUUCUCAAUAAAGUUCAAAAGAUGUGAUAAAAAGACAUAAUAAAUAGUUAGAAUAUUUUGUUGCUAAAGAAAAUAAAUAUUUUAUGCUAUUAUGCGUCGGCACACAAGAAUUUUUUUGACCGGCACGCAUCGGCACGGCUCGGCACACACCGUGCUGUACCGUGCCGGCAAGUUUCCGGCACAACCCCGUGCCACGGCACUUAUCCUUGCUAUUAAUAAUAGAUGUUGCUCUUUUAAGUGGAGGAAGUUUCAUGCUGAAGAUUGUAAUACUUGCAGGUGCAUAAAUUCUCUCCCUGAUGAUUACAAAUCCCUGGUUCCAAAACUACUCAUUGAGGCCAUGAGUGAAUUGAAUGCUAGCUUUGUCUCCCGUCUCAACCUUGCAACAGGAGAUGUAGUUCCUGAAACCAAAACCCUAGCAAAAGGUGAGUCCUUGUUGAAUCUCCUUUUCUUAUUAUUAGGAAGCAUAUGUAGAAUAUGAAUUAUCUGUCAUUUAGUUUUCAUUUGUUUAUUCAGAUCAAAUGAUUUUCCUGUAACUUAUUGUUUGUUUAUAACAUAAGGUGUCAUAUCCUUGCAUCAUGCUCGCUGAGUUUCUCAUUUGUCAUGCUAACUAGGUCAAUUAACUUUCUGUAAGAAUCUGAAUACUCUAAGGCUCGCUGAGUUUCUCAUUUGUCAUGCUAACUAGGUCAAUUAACUUUCUGUAAGAAUCUGAAUACUCUAAGGCUCGCUGAGUUUCUCAUUUGUCAUGCUAACUAGGUCAAUUAACUUUCUGUAAGAAUCUGAAUACUCUAAGGCCUUGGCCAUUUUAAGAUAUUUUUCUGAUAUAAUAUAAUGGUUCGUUUAUCCGGUUAUUCAGGAAUUAUGGAUAUCUUGUCUGGCGACAUGCCAAAAGGCACUAAGCUGCAGAAUAAGCAUCUCGAGGCACUAAUCGAACUGCACAAUGUGACUGGUACUUUUGCAAGGAAUCUUCAGCAUCUAUUUUCAGAAUCUGAUCUUCUGAUUCUACUGAAUACACUGAAAGCUGUUUAUUCACCUUAUGAAUUGUUUAAAGUGAGGUGUGCAAAAUCUACUCUUCUCGAAGUAUAAAUGCAUCUGCAGUUAAUACGCAUUGCAUCGAAAUUGCAUCAUCAUUUAGGAGAGACUUUUUUUUUGGGUGUUGGUGGUGGGGGGGGGGGGGGUGAGGGUGGGGUUGUGUGUGGCUUUUACAUAUCAAUCCAUAAUUUAUCUAUUCAUUAUCUAUUCACAUACAUGCCCUUGCAAAAACUGAAUUUUAAUAUUUUUCCACUUAAAAGCACUCUCUUACAAAAGUAUCCUUAUCAUAUGUUGGAGAGUCGUCCAACUCUAAUUCAGGGGGAUGUUGGUUUUGUAUUUGAAAGGACGAUAAGACGCUGAAGGACGAUCAAUUUUGUUAGUAUAAUGGUAUAGCUAUAUCUAUAUCAGAGAUAUUCAGUUUAGGAUUUUAUAUUUGAAUAGAUUUCAUGUUCAGGGUUACAUAUGUAAACCCCGUUGUAAUUAUGGUCACUUUUAAUUGUUUAGUGACAAAACAUUUUUUUUUCCUUUUUCAGGUAUGGACAUAUGGAGCGUGCGAUACUUUCCUCUGAGAUCACAAGAAUAGAUAUUCGUGGAGCCGUUUCUCGCGGAGUUGGUGCACAGGGCAUAGAGCUCAGCGAAACUGUUCGUAGAAUGGAAGAAUCUAUCCCACAAAUCAUAGUGCUUCUCGAAGCAGCAGUUGAAAGAUGCAUCAACUUUACUGGUGGAUCUGAGGCUGAUGAACUUAUACUGGCCCUCGAUGAUAUCAUGUUGCAAUACUUGUCAAACCUACAAGAAACCCUAAAAUCCUUGAGAACAGUUUGUGGAGUUGACAAUACUACUACACAUAGUGAUAGCGCGAAAAAGGAUGCGGGUUUGGAUAGAAAGGAAGGUGGGGCCCGUUUAAUGGAUGUGGUUUCCGAAGAGGAGGAAUGGUCAAUUGUUCAGGGAGCUUUGCAGAUUCUCACUGUUGCAGAUUGUUUAAGUAGCAGAACAGCAGUUUUCGAGGCUUCUUUACGAGCUACUUUAGCUAGAAUCGGAACAAGUUUGUCUCUUUCUGUAUUUGGUUCGAGCUUAGACAAAUCUCAUGCAGCACCUGUCGAUGAGAAUGCGGAAGUUUUUGCAGGAAGGGCAGCCCUCGAUGUGGCGGCUUUGAGACUUACUGACGUGCCAGAAAAAGCUAAAAAGCUUUUUAAUUUACUAGAGCAGGUAGUUUGGUCUAUCCUGUUGAGAACCUUGCAUUUAGUGCUUUGUGGUGGCAAUGAAUGCAUAUGUCAUUGCCCAGAAAAGGAAAAGAAAAAGAGGAAAAACAGAGAAAGAGAGAAGCAUGCAUGAUGUGAAUAUAUAAUAACAGAUGCAUGUUUUAGAAAAUAGAGUACCCUACUGAUGGUAAAAGAUGGUUUUAAAUACACUAUCUUUUUUGGAUCAUAGAAGGUAGAAAAUUUACUUCCAGCAAGUUUAGAGAUUGUUGUGUUAUAUUCUGCACCAGAAUAAUAAGCAAGAUCCAGUUUAUAUACAAUUUGAAGACAUGAUAUUUUUAAGUUGCUUCUUGCAAAUGAAUGACGAGUAUUCUUCCUUCCCAUAUUACCCUUUUUCCAAUUUCUGUUCCUUACUGUGCAGUCAAAGGAUCCAAGGUUUCACGCACUCCCCCUCACGUCACAAAGGGUUGCGGCAUUCUCCGACACUGUGAACGAGCUCGUCUAUGACGUGCUCAUAUCCAAAGUCCGGCAACGCCUGAGCGAUGUGUCACGACUGCCGAUCUGGUCUUCCGUGGAGGAGCCAAGCGCUCUCCCUCUCCCGACCUUCAGUGCAUACCCGCAGGCCUAUGUGACCAGCGUCGGCGAGUAUCUCCUCACCUUGCCACAGCAGUUGGAGCCACUCGUAGAAGGCAUCUCUGGCAGUGAGGCCGGCAAUGAGGAGGCUCAGUUUUUUGCCACAGAAUGGAUGUUUAAGGUAACACACACGCACACACAAACAAACACAACACACACGCGCACAUAUAUGUAGUUCAUAUGGGAUACUAUUGGUAGUAAAUGAAUAGUGUUUUCUACCUACUCUCUAGCCUUUGGAUCAAAUAUUAAACUCAAGGCUAAAAACUAGGCAGCAAACACUGUUCCUCUACUAUUGAUAUUCUUAUGGAAGUAUUUGUACUCUGGUUACUCAAGGGUCUUUUUGGAAAAAUGGCUGAAAUGAAAAAAAAGAACCAUAAAUAUAUUAUAAUUUGCGCCUUGCCCUUCUGAAAGGGAAAAGUAACGUUUUAAUCCCCUUAAUGUGAAAAUCUUCUGCACUUUACCCCUUUCUGGUGUAUUUUCCGUCAAGAUAUAGUUAGGAAAAAAAAUUGAAAUAUUAUUUGAAACAUAAGUUAUACCAAUAGAAGGGAUCUAGUGCUGAAAACGUGAUGCUUUUUUUUUUUUUUUUUCUGUUUUUGCAACUUUGGCCUACUUUUCAGCUUUUAUGGUUAUACUGCCUCCUCCUCUAUCGAACAAUGUUGCAAAGUUUUGAAUGAUUGAUGUAUACGCAGACAUGGUUCACAUUAUGUCUUAAUCCAUCAAACUUUUAGAACUUUCAUCCAGGUAAUUCAGUUGAUGAGCAGUUUCGUCUCAGAAGUUGAAAUGUUGGCUAAUGCUGUAAAACUGAAAAAAGCACCCUUUGUGCAAACCUUAUGUUAAAUGAAAUUAUCAUCGGCCAAAGGAGAAUCAAACUCUUAGGCCCUGUUUGGAUGCCGAAAUAAGAAAUCCAAUGAUAACUUAUGUGAAUGAAACUUUUCUUGUGUGAUUGAAAGGCAGGAAUUUGAUCUUUUUUUUUCCUUUUAGAAAGAUCUUGGCAUUUAUGAUUUGAUAGGAUAGCAUAUUUUAUCUAUGAGAUAAUUUAUUUUAGUCCGAAAAAAUGACUAAAACAGUGAAUAUAGUAUCUCUUGUGGACAUCUGAUCAUACUCCUUAUCUAUUGAAUAUUAUUAUGAUUUUUGAGUAAAUCGAAGGGAUAUACCGCAUAAGAUAUUUAUGCAUCCAAACAGGACCUUGACAAUUUCUGCCAUUCUCCUCCUAAUGGUAUCCCAGCAUGAACACUUGAAUAUAAAGGAGAAAUGCUUUUAUCGCCUGUUCAUCGCAUUUUGACUCCUAUCCUUUUUUGCGCUCUUUGCCUACCGUAUUCGUUGUGCUAAUUCGAUCUUUUUGAUUUUUUCCUCCACUUUGGUAUUACUGCUAGGUGGCUGAGGGAGCCACAGCACUCUUCACGGAGCAGCUGCGAGGAAUCCACUUCAUCACCGACCGCGGCGCGCAGCAGCUCUCAGCCGAUAUAGAGUACCUGAGCAACGUUCUCUCCGCACUUUCGAUGCCAAUCCCUCCGUUCCUCUCCACAUUCCACACCUGCCUAUCAACACCAAGAGACCAACUCCGCGACCUCAUCAAGACCGACGGCGGGAGCCAGCUCGACCUCCCGACGGCCAAUCUCGUGUGCAGGAUACGCCGCAUUAGUUUAGAUUAGUGCUUUUGUUUUCUCUGAUUACUUUUUCCUCUUGAUUUCGCUUUUGCUUUGCAGAAGCUUAUUAUAAAGAAGUGUUGUCAUUUGAAUCUGAAUUGUCCCAUAUUCGUGUUGCAUACAUUUAAUUUCACACAGGAAGACAAUUUGUCAACACUAUAAUUCUAUUAUUAUCAGUACAAGUGUCAAACAAAACUGUGCUGAUGGGAAACUUUUUGUUUAUAUCUACAUGAUAUCCUAUAAAAGCAUUUGGAGUUUUAUCUGAAGAACAGUGACAAAAUUAGCAUGUUAAGCCUAGUUUGGAAAUACAUUGUUUAAAUGCACCUGCUUGAUAUUAAAGUUCGAAAAAAUUUACAACCAGUUUUAACUGUUUUAGCAUUCAAUAUGAUGGAAUGAUAGUAAAAAAUUGUCAUAUAAAAACAAAAUUCGCCUGUCCGUUCACACUUUCGUUGGACACUUAAUCGUUCAUCAUAUUUGUAUUUGUUGUGCCAAUAACACACAAUUGAUUUGUCCUCAUGUACAAACAACAUAUUUCCGUGAAGUAAUCAAAUUGCACACUUUUCACUUAUCCAAUCAAAUAAAAAUAGAAGACACAUCUAACACCACAAAAAGUCAGGGGAUUCCAACAGUAGUUGGUAAUUGGUAUACGUUUUCAUGUGAAUUCAAUGAUCAUCAUUUCUCAUUAACUAGCAGAUUAGUUAUUUGCACAGGUAACAGCAAUUGAGGAUGAGAUAGAUAAUGCGGUAGAGAGAAACGAUUAUUUUAUAUUAUUUUAACAUAAUGUCAGAGUUUAGUUUACAUCCAAACUUCUGGGGGUCUAACCAUCGUGUACCAACCGCGCAUGUAAAGUUAUUUGUGCCGCAUACUAGUCCUAGCUAUUAUAUGGAUUCAGUUUGUAUCAUGUAUUAGCUGAGAACUCCCAUAUCGAAUACAAAAUGGAAUCUUGAUCUGUAUAUAAUAUAAAUGGUAUUUUCACUUAAUAACUUAAGCUUUUUAGUGGGCCUGAAUCUCUCACUACGUGCAUGAUUUAUAUAGUACACAUAUAGUCAAAUUACGUGUAUGACUUGCACAAUACCCAUAUGACCCAAGUCAUUUUUCAUAGGAUUUUUUUCUAAAAAUUAGUUUUGUUGAAAUUUUUUAGUAUGUAAAAGUACACUUGUGAAAAUCUUAAUGGCCUAAAUUAGCCACAUAUGUUCAACAAUAGUCAACUAUUAAAAUAUAGAAAAUGAUGAAUCAUUCACUAUAUUUAGAAUGUACUCAACUAUUCACUACAUAUUUCAGCUUCUAAAAUAUCAACUACAUACAUGGUGCAUACAUGGCCUUUUAUAAAUAAAAUCUUGAUAAAAUGUAAAGACACCCCCCCCUAAACUUUCACAUAUUU